rnacentral:lncRNA from 1 species
UCCGGCUGAGUUGAUGGAUGGUGAGCAGAAGAAGAACUUCCUCAGGAAAAAAGGAGCUCGUACCAAUACCUUGUGGAUUAUAGAAAAGCUAGUCCUGUUAGUCGGCGUAUGCUGCUUCAUGUACCUCAUGAGCUUCUAUGUCACUGGGUACUGAACACACAAAGAUAUGCCUAAAGUUUAUUUACAAGUACAAUCAAACUGCUUCUUUUUGUCGAAUAUUAUGUUGUUUGUAUUAUAUAAUUCUUAUGGUGGCUAGAACAUGUGUACCUCUAUGCACAUGUAACACCUUUCUUAGUGACCUGAUUGUUGUUUAUCUGCUGAUACACAGGGGGAAAUGAAUAUUUGCACAUGGGGAUUCAGUUGCUUUGGACAAGGACAACAACAAUCUUUCAGGGCAGCACAAGUAUGGGCUCUGCUCUGGUGGCAUGUAGAAUUCGCAUGGCUGGAGAGGUAGUGAUGUAGAUGUGUCUAUCUCGUGCGUCAACUUUGAAGUGAACCUCUAGAAAUAUAUGGCAGUGUGGCGUCGUCUUGUUAUUUUUUCAUGUUGCAAGAUCAAGUCUUGAACUAAUGGUUCUGUUGCUGAAUCUUUCAGCUGAUCUCUUAAUCAGUUAAGCUCCAAGGUGGUUUGAGAUAUUUUGACAUAUGCUGGCACAUCGGGCAUUGAUAGCAUGUGACAUUCACAUUGUUCAGUUUUUGUUGAAUUUUUCAUUAUUGUUCUGCAUUUGGGGCGUGCGAUGCUUUCAGGGUGUGUUUGAGAUGGCUUUAGAUGCUUGUGACUGUUUUUCCUCGUUUUUUGAGGUUGCGCCCGGACCCAGGUUAUUGGCAGCAUAAAUACUUUAUGAGAAUCCUAGUGCUGCACGAUGAUGAGUAAUUUAGAAUCAGGCUAGGUUUCAGGAUGUGUCAAUUGCAGUGGUGGGUUUUGAAAUUAGCUUCAGCUGAUAUAGCGAACUGACACUGAGUUAUUGUAGUAGCUUCAGUUUAUAUAGCAAACUGACACCCAUACAUCUCUGUUUAGGCAGUAGCUUUAUCUGAUAUUCUCUCUCCUGAAGCUAUUAUGCAGUGGAAAAAUUGUUCUCGAGAUAAAGCUAUCUCACCUAAAUCUACGAUGCUAUAUUCAAAGUUCAGACAUGUAAGAUGGGUUAUAAGAUAUAUUAGUAGGUUAUUGUGCAUGGAUUUGUAGCGGUCACUUAAAUAUUACAAAAGAUAUCUGAAUGUGACAUGUGAUUCUUCAGUGACGUUACAUGGGUGCACUUCAGAAUAUUCUCCGGUUGGAGUUAUAUUAGAAGGCAUAUCCCCCGCAAAAUAAUAAUAAUAUUAGAAGGCAUGUAAGCACAUUCUUUUUUUCUCUAUCUAUAUAUCUCUGUAAUAUCUUGUAUUUUGGAGAAAAUAUCUGUUGUACUCAUUAGUGCCGAUUCAUUUAUCCAAAAUCUGUUAUCAAACUGCCAACAUUUUCAACUUACCCGUAGCUCACAUAUCUUGGGAUCUUUAUUGAUUUAAGUAGGUCAUGCUCAAAAAUGUCUUGCCAGGAUUUCGCACAUGUGAUGUCAUCUGAUGUGUUGUUAUACCGUUGGUCUAAUUGUUUGUUACUAGAUUCUGAAUUUUCUUCUUGGUAUCUUGUAGUUGUUUGAUCAUGGUCAUGCCGGAAGUUGGGUUCAGAAGCAGGAAGAAAUUGUAUCCUAGAAAGAAACUAAUGGGACUAACUCGCUUUGAAAACAACGUUGUUGCAAUGGUUUACCUGACCGUGGAUGUGCAAAGGAAGGUCCUAAGUUGUUUUUGAGUUUGAUGAUGCUAAUGAAUAAGAUGUUUUGACAGUGAUCUCUACUGUUUCUGUAUAUCAUCUGAAUAUGUUUUCUAAGGCCGUUUGAUGCUCAACACAAAGGCCGGUUUGUUUCUAAGGAGUAUCUUAGGUUGACGUUCUGUUGUUUCUAUGCUGCAAUCAAUGUGCAUUUGCAUCCCCCUGUUGCUGAUCAUGAUCAAAAUCCCUUGGUUCCAAAGUUUUCGUGUGAUGGCAAAUAAAUGUCCCUUGCUCAACACUGUUUCUUUGCAGUGUGCUUUCGGUUGGAUUCUACCCUGGGCUUUAGUUUAAUUUGCAGGCUAUAGCCGGGUGAAGUGCCUUCGCUUGGAUGUUGCAAGUGUCACAUAUGCCGCCAUUCCUAGUGGUCUAAUUGCUCCGUGAAGUAGGCAGACACCCGACCGACUUGGAGGGCAGCACCCACGAUCUUGACAACACGCUUGCGGAACUGUGAGACCUCAACAAGGUGGCUGCUCGUGAACUUAGCUCUGCUCUUCCGUUGUGUGGUGUUUUCUUGUGUCACCGAUGAGAUGAAACGUAGUGCAGCAUGCUGUCCUGCUAUAAAUUACGACCACUUGAUCACAAGUGAGGCUAUUCAUCAUAAGCAGCAGAAAAUAAUCACAUUGGCAGAACCCGUCUCUCACUCACUCAAACCACCUCCCAAUCAAGCUCCCUGUAACAUCUCAGUUGUCCUCUAAUAUCCCAACUCGUACAUAAGCUUUACAAAUAUAUACAUAUGGAAAUUGUAAUGACCACAUAUCAUUGUAACCUCUGGAUCGGGAAUAGGUUGCUAGGCAUGAUCUUAAUUUAUAGGUGCGUGCCUAUAUGUGUUAUUCAUGCUUUUUUUAUGCAAGUUAGUUGAUGGUUAUCAGAACAUUGUGUGCAUGCAUUCAUUCAACUCCAUGCUUUCUUUAUGCAAAUUAGUUGGUGGCCAACAUCAAAACAUGCAUGAACAUUAUUGCAUGCAUUCAUACAAGAUGACCUAUAUGUAUCAAUGGCCAAUAUGCAUGUAAAUUACAGGGAUGCCUCAUUUUAUUCCUUUUUUGUGAAAAGGCAAAAGUAUAUACUCCCUCCGCCCAAAAAUUUUGUCGUCUUAGAUUUGUCUAAAUACGGAUGUAUCAAUUGAUACUACAUAUGUAUUUAGACAAAUUUAAGACAAGAAUUUUGGGACGGAGGGAGUAUUAAGUAACACAAAUCCUUACAAAAACACUCUUACAAAAAUGGAAAAAUACAUCCAAAAUUUUGGGGGUGCGGAAGUCUUCUUCCUCCUGUUCCAAUGGCGGUGCCAAGACCAAAGCUUGUUCCUGCCUCUGGUCUUUGUCUCAGCGGAGCAAACUUUCUUAAACACAAGAGCUUGUAGAAGUUGCGACCUAUAAGUCAUCGAUGUUGACCAGGAGACGCCGACGGUCGUGAUCAAUGUAGUAAAUGUCUGUCUCAUAAAAGGAAACAAUGUCGAGGCCUAUAGAAAGCCCCAAUACUGACCAGUCGGAGUUGGGGAACACAAUACUCACAUGCUCUCCAAAGAGGCCGAGACUAUCCAACCUUCGUCGUUCGGAAUUGGAGUCAGAGGACCAAGAUGUAUGACCAUCUUGUUCACUUUGCAUGACUGUGCUAUCGACUAAGAGAAGGAAAUAUGGCUCCCAUGGGUAGAUUGGGGCCUGCCUGUAAGUGCAUCUAGUGCCACCCCUAGUUGGUUUUGGAGUAUUGACGACAAACCUAGUUGAGGGACUAAUGUGUUUGUGAGAAUUGCAGGAUAACACAGGUAGAAGUCCCUCAUUGAUUCGGUUUUCCUACCAGAGAUGACCCCUAAAAAUGUAAGAAGACAUUGAAGUCAAAGGUGGUAUGUGAAGACAUUCACAUUGAAGACUAUGACAAGAGAAUACAUCGCAUGAAGACUAUGGAGCGCGAAGACUUAGUUCUUUUCUCGUUCUUUUUCUUCUUUGUUGAGUCAUAGGAACCACCGUACUGUUAAGUGGGGUCCAAGUGAACCAGUCAGAAUGACUGAAGUGAUGCUUAACCAAAAUCCUAUGUCUUCGAGUGAAGACUAUGAGAGAAAAAUCUUGUCCAGAGUUGGAUAAGUCAGCUUUGCUUGUAGCCCAAGUAAAGUUGCCGUGUGUGUUUGAAAUCUGACCGUUGGAACACGUGUCAGUUCCUUAGUGACCAAGGGUCAUUUCGGACAAAUCAGGUCGGGUUGCCUAGUGGCUAUAAAUAGCCCACCCCCUACAACCAUAAACGGUUGGCUGCUCAGAGUUAGUACACGGCUUUUGUCAUUUGAGAGCAACCCACCUCGAAGCCUUUGAGAGAGAAUUCCUUGUGAGGAUAAAGCCCUAAACACCCAGAGCCAAAGAGUGUUAGGCAUCACUUAAGUCUUCCUGUUUGUGUGAUCUGAAGACUUAUUACACUUGAGGACUGUGAAUCCUCCAGCCGGUUAGGCGCCGCGUUCUGAGCAUCCAAGAGUCAUUGUGGAUCGCCGGUGAACGAAGUCUGUGAAGGUUUGGAAGUCUACCUUGAAGACUUACCAGAGUGAUUGGGCGAGGACUGGGUGUCCUUAGCUCAAGGGGAAUAAGGUGAAGAUGAGGUCUUCUGAGUUGAAUCUCAGCCUCCCUAACCAGACGUACAGUUGUCACAGCAACUAGAACUGGUCCAACAAAUCAUUGUCUUCAACGAGUCACUGGUUUCAUCCUUCCCUUCCCUUUACUUACUGUUGGUCCUUGUGAAGUCAUUGUAUGAUUGCUUUAUCUUUUGUCUUCACUGAGUGACUGCUUGUUCUGAUUGCCUUCACAAUAUCUUCCUACCUGAUCUUUACUGCCUAGCUGCUAUUAGUCAUUGUGCUUUCACUCCAUUGAAUACUUGACUAUGGUUUGCCUAGUGUAGUCUACCUUCCGCUGCAUGGUAAUGGGUUUAUUUCUAUCGUUUGUCUUCGAAACUUCCAUGUUUUGAAGACUUUCAUAAAAAUCUCCUAUUCACCCCCCUCUAGUCGAUCACUAGCACUUUCAAUUGGUAUUAGAGCAAGGUACUCCCUUGUUCUGUGUGAUUCGGUUUAACCACAUGGAGUUUUAGCUAUGUCGACUGCAGGGAUAAUCAAAGUCUCCGCUGCGUGCCCAGUCUUCGAUGGAACUGAAUAUCCCUACUGGAAGAAUAAGAUGCGCAUGCAUCUUGAAGCCAUUGAUGUCGACCUAUGGUAUGUCGUCAAGAAUGGCAUUCCCAAGGCUGGUGAAGGUGUCACCGCUGCUGAUGUCAAGAAGUUCGUUCAACUGGACUCCACUGCCAAGAACAUCAUUUGUGGUCAUCUGACCAAAGGACAGUAUGGCCAUGUGAGUGCUUUGGAAACAUCUAAGCUAGUCUGGGACUGGCUCUCCAAGGUUAACAAAGGUGUCUCAACCCAGAGAGAUCAGAGAAUCAGUGUCCUUCGCAACCUCUUCAACCGCUUCAAGAGAAAUGACAAUGAGAAUGUUCAGCUCAUGUUUGAUCGACUCACUGACAUCACAAAUGAGAUUCAAGCCCUCGGCGCCACUGAGAUCACCAAGCAUGAAGUUAUCAAGACACUCCUGAGAUCACUUGACAGCUUGUUUGACACCCUAGCCCUGAUGAUUCAAGAACGUCCUAACUUCAAAACACUCGAUCUGUCUGACAUACUUGAGAGGCUCAACACACACGAGUUUUAGCUUUUUGAGAAAAGAGACAUCUAUGGUCCCAACUAUGGGCGAACUCGUGCCUUGAAGGCAAAAGCCGUCUCCUCAUCUGAAGAAGAGUCUAACAGCAGUUCUGAUGAUCCUGAAGACAUUUGAAAGGAGCUUGCUAUGCUUGUGAAGAAGUUCCAAAAAUCCACCAAGAAGAAAGGCUUCAGAAAGUCCUCAUGAUCAAGCUCAAGGAAUGAUGAAGCUUCUGCUCAUGACUAUAAGAAGAGAACAUGCCACAAGUGCAAGAAACCUGGCCACUACAUCUCUGAGUGUCCGCAGUGGGACAAUGAGAACAAGAAGAAAAAGAAGAGCAAGGAGUAUGAUUAUGACGACAAGAAGAAGAAGAAAUACUCAAAGUCUUCUUCCAAGUCUUCCUCAAAGUCUUCAUCACACAAGAAGAGCUCAUCUGGCAAGGCACGUGCGUUUGUUGGCAAGGAAAUGGAUUCGGAGGAGGAGUACGCUUCUGAGGAGGCAGAGGUGGAGUCUGAGGAGGAGUCCGAUUCUGGCGUUGCGAGUUUGGCUACAGCAUACGUUGCCAAGUCCAUCUUCAACACUGAAGACAAUGACUCCGUCACUGACACCGAUGCAAAUGACAAGGACUACUCCGCUCCUACCUACUGCUUCAUGGCACGCGGUGCCAAGGUAAACACACGCACUACUCACUAUCAAACUUAUAGUGAAGAUGACUCUGAUUGUGGUUCCAAACCUAGCUACAAAACACUUGCUAAAAUUGCAACUGAACAACAGAAAGCUAUGGAACAUAUUCAAAAACUGUUAGACAAAAGCGAUGACCUGUUAGACGCUGAAAUGACUCGAUCUCAGUCCUUAAUUGAAGACAUAAAAAAUCUUCACGUUAAGUAUGAGGAACUUGAAAGUCAUCAUGAAACGCUCUCAACAACUCAUGAAAAGCUUUCCUAUGAUUAUCUUCAAAGGAAGCAAGAUCUUGAGAAACUGAGAGCGGCUCAUGAAGAUCUUCAAACAAAAAAUGAGUCACUUCGCGCCAAACAGAUCAGUUCCGCUCAGGAAGGAUUUGAACCACCGUGUCUUAAAUGCAUUGAGCGUGAUAAUGCUACUUCUGUUGCUGAAUGUUCUACUGCUGCUACUGUUGCAAUAUCUUCAACUGUUGAUGUGGUAACUAACCCCUCUGCUGAGGAUGCCACUGCUAUUGCUGAUGGGAAUGCUAGGUUGAAGACAUUGCUUGAAACAGGGAUGUUCAAAAGUCUCAAAGGGCAUCAGACACUGUGUGAUGUCCUCAAAAGGCAGAUCCUGAACCGAAACCCUAGGAAAGAGGGUGUUGGGUUCGAAAGGAAAAUGAAUGCUGAUGGCUCUUACUGGAAACCUAAGCAGUACCCCAAAACCACAUGGGUUGCUGCAAAGGGACCUUCAGUGGAUCCAUCCACCCUAUCUGGAUUCACUUGUGCUAAUCCCAUUGUUAUUGAUGAAUCCUUUGAUGCAAACUAUAAACUGUUUAAGAAUCAGAAUGGUGAAGUGUUUGCCAGGUAUAUUGGUACUAACUGCAGGAAUGGACCGCCUAUGAAGAAGGUAUGGGUGCCGAAAAUGUGUUUGGAGAAUCUUCUGUGAAUGUCACCAUGACACCACAGGUGAAGAAAACAAACCCCAGACCACAGGCUUCAUAUGGUCCAAAGGCUUCAUAUAGACAGAGGACUCACCUGAGUCGCACUAACGCAAAUGUUUUGCAGGGAAGCCAUACUCAGGCCUGUGAAUAUGAGCGUGUUUCAUCAAACCGCCAUAUUCAUAAGACCAAGAACUAUUCUGCUUAUUCUUAUCAGUACUAUUGUCCACCUGCAAGACUUUUUGCUAGGGCUCCAAAGCCAAAGUUCCCAGAUGCUGCACUUAGACUCAUUGCUUCGAAGCCACCCCUGAAGAUGUGGGUGGCUAAGAAAGCUUAACUCUCUUUUGCAGGAAAAGGUCUCCAGCCAAAAACCAAAAUCGUCUGAAGCUAUUGCUGGGGACCUUAAACAUCUUGUAGGGCGCAAGAUCAAAUGCCCAAAUGGUCUUAUUAUGUACUUUGUUCCUGAGUCGCUUGCUACUUGCCCUAUCAGUCAUAAUCUCGAUCUAAGCUUUCAUAAUUCACUGGCUCGUCAAAUGUUUUUGCUUCACAAUUCUCUUCGUGAAGCCCAUCCCCCUAACUGCACUGUAGGGUAGGACACCAGCUGCUUCAGAAUGGAUUAUUGAUAGUGGGUGUACCAAUCACAUGACUAGCAAGCGAAGCCUUCUUAUGGACUCAACCUAUGUCCAUCUGACAAAAGUCACAUCACAUUUGCUGACACUGGUAAAAGUAAGGUAUUGGGUCUAGGUAGAGUUGCAAUCUCAAAGGAUCAACAUAUGGAUAAAGUCAUGCUUGUUGAAUCCCUUGGUUUCAACUUAAUGUCUGUCUCAAUGCUUUGUGAUUUAAACAUGAUUGUGAUGUUUGGAAAAUAUCGUUGCCUUGUUCUAAUGGAAUCUGACAAGUCUCUAGUGUUUGAAGGGUAUUGGAAAUAUGAUUUGUACGUGGUAGAUUUCUCAGCAGGACCACAGCUUGCCGUAUGUCUUCUAGCAAAAGCUUCAGAAUGCUGGCUCUGGCAUCGGAGGCUAGGGCAUGCUGGCAUGAGGAACUUGCACACUCUUGCAAGAAAGAAGCAUGUCAUAGGCAUCGAGGGCGUCAAGUUCAAAAAGGAUCACUUAUGCAGUGCCUGUGAAGCAGGAAAGAUGACGAGGGCCAAGCAUCCCUCGAAGACAAUCAUGACAACGACUCAACCCUUCGAACUGCUCCACAUGGACCUUUUCGGUCCCACUCAUUACUCAACUCUUACUACUAUUGCUUGUCUCUAUGGCUUUGUCAUUGUUGAUGAUUAUUCAAGAUAUACUUGGGUGCAUAUAAUCCUCUACAAGACUGAAGUGCAGGAUGUCUUCAGACGCUUCGCCAAUCGAGCAAUGAACAACUAUGGCAUCAAGAUAAAGCACAUCAGAAGUGACAAUGGCACUGAAUUCAAGAACACUGGCCUAGAUACAUAUCUUGAUACUUUGGGCAUCACACAUGAAUUCUCAGCUCCGUACACGCCACAGCAGAAUGGCGUCGUCGAACGCAAGAACAGAACACUUAUUGAGAUGGCUCAGACGAUGCUUGAUGAAUACAAGACUCCAAGAAAAUUCUGGCAUGAACCCAUUGAUACUGCAUGCCAUAACAUCAACCGUCUUUAUCUUCACAAGCUUCUGAACAAGACAUCCUAUGAGCUCCUUACUGGCAAGAAGCCAAAUGUCAGUUGCUUCAGAGUAUUUAGUGCCAGGUGCUGGAUCAAGGAUCCACAUCACACUUCAAAAUUUGCACCAAAAGCACAUGAAGGUUUUAUGCUUGGAUAUAGAAAGGAUUCGCACUCCUACAGAGUCUUCAACCUCUUUCACUAUAAAGUGGUUGAAACUGUGGAUGUGCGGUUCGAUGAGACCAACGGCUCGCAAAGAGAGCACCUGCCAAAUGUGCUAGAUGAAGUUACAUCCAGUGAAUCCAUCAAACUUAUGGGAACCGGAGAAAUCAUACCUUCUGAAGCUGAGCCUGAAGAAGAACUUAUCAUCUCCGCACCUGAUCAACCUGAAGACAAUGAUCAACCUGAAGACAAUGCUCAGCCUGAAGACAAUCCCUCUAACGAUGACAAUGAUCAGCAAGAGCAAAAUCUUCGUCCUGUACAUCCUCGUGUUGCAAAUGAAGUACAGAUUGAGAGAAUAAUUGAUAGCAUCAAUGCACUAGGUCCACUCACUCGUUCAAGGGCAACACAGCUAGCAAAAUUCUGUGGGCACUUCGCAUUUGUCUCAAUAUCUGAACCCAAGAAAGUUGAUGAAGCAUUCAUGGAACCUGAAUGGAUUCAAGCUAUGCAAGAAGAGCUUCAACAGUUUGAGCUGAAUAAUAUAUGGGAACUGGUUAAGCGUCCUGAUCCUCGUAAGCACAAUAUAAUAGGCACCAAAUGUAUAUAUCGCAGCAAGCAAGAUGAGCAUGGUCAAGUUGUCAGAAACAAAGCUCGUCUCGUUGCUCAAGGAUACACUCAAGUUGAAGGGAUUGACUUCGAUGAAACAUUUGCUCCUGUGGCUAGACUUGAAGCCAUACGCAUACUGUUGGCCUAUGCAAAUCAUCAUAACAUUCUUCUGCAUCAAAUGGAUGUGAAGAGCGCUUUUCUCAAUGGCAAGAUUGAUGAAGAAGUGUAUGUUCCACAACCGCCUGGCUUUGAAGAUCCAAAACAUCCUGAUAUGGUGUACAAGCUCAAUAAGGCACUGUAUGGCCUCAAACAAGCCCCUAGGGCUUGGUAUGACACACUCAAAGACUUCCUGAAGAGCAAAGGCUUCAAACCUGGUUCCCUCGACCCCACUCUCUUCAUGAAGACAUAUGAUGGUGAAUUGUUUGUGUGCCAAAUAUAUGUGGAUGACAUUAUCUUCGGUUGCACCAAUCAGAAAUACACUGACGAGUUUGGAUAUAUGAUGCAAGAGCAAUAUCAGAUGUCCAUGAUGGGUGAGCUGAAGUUCUUCCUUGGUCUUCAAAUACAUCAGCAACGCAACGGCAUCUUUAUAUCUCAAGAGAAAUAUCUCAAAGAUUGCCUGAAGAAAUUUGGAAUGCAAGAUUGCAAAGGCUACACGACGCUAAUGCCAGCCAAACAUCAUCUGGGUCCCGACGACAAUGGUAAAGAGUUCGAUCAAAAGGUAUACCGCUCCAUGAUUGGUUCCUUACUUUAUUUAUGUGUAUCUAGGCCAGAUAUCAUGCUUAGUGUUUUCAUGUGUGCCCGGUUCCAAGCGGCACCAAAGGAAUCGCAUCACUUAGCUAUGAAGCGAAUUCUCAGAUAUUUGGCUCACACCCCAACACUAGGAUUAUGGUAUCCAAAGGGCUCAGAGUUUGAUCUAGUUGGAUUCUCGGAUGCUGAUUAUGCUGGUGACAAGGUGGAUCGCAAGUCUACAUCAGGCACAUGUCAUUUUCUAGGACGAUCACUUGUAUGCUGGUCUUCAAAGAAGCAGAACUGUGUAUCUCUCUCCACUGCUGAAUCUGAAUACAUUGCUGCUGGAUCUUGCUGCGCUCAGCUUCUAUGGAUGAAGCAAACACUCAAAGACUAUGGCAUUCACCUGAAGCAAGUACCACUCUACUGCGACAACGAAAGCGCCAUCAAGAUUGCCAACAACCUAGUUCAGCACUCGAAGACAAAGCACAUUGAAAUUCGUCAUCACUUUCUCAGAGAUCGUGUUGUGAAGGAAGAUAUUGAUAUCAUACACGUCAACACUGAAGAGCAAUUGGCAGAUAUCUUCACCAAGCCCUUGGAUGAGAAGAGGUUUUGCAAGUUACGAUGUGAGCUAAAUAUCUUGGAAUCCUCAAAUGUCCUGUGAGUAGGCACACAUCCUAACACUUAUGCAUGUUAAUGACUUAGAUGUGCAACACACGAAGUAAAGUAUAUCUUCAAUCAAUGAAGACUUACACUCUGAGUGUGAAUACAUUAACGUGGAAUUUGACUUCGGAGCGCCACGAUAAUUGUGCGCCGUGUCUGGGUCUAAUACUUCCUAUACGGUGGGUAACGCCACCACCAAAUUCUUCUGUUUGAAGUGUUUUACCCAUGGCGUUACAUGUACUAUGUCUUCACAUUUUGUUUGUCUUCAUUUUCAACUUGUCUUCAUGAUUAUCUUCACUAUGUUUACUUGAUUGUCUUCUGAUAUAUAUGCAUACUAGUGUUCUGUCCUCUACAGCAUUCACUUAUAGCUACAUCUUCCUUGUUGAAUCUUUUGAACUAAGUGAAUGUGAUCGGACCCUAAUCUCUAUAUGCUUUCUAUCUCAAACUCUAUCUGUCCAAAUCAUAUGCAUUCUAUUGAAACUGUCGAAUGUCUUCUCUGCGUCCUAGUCAGCAGAAGAUACAGAGACAAACAUUAAGUCCGUUUUCAAUGCUAAUUCCUUCACCUGAAACCCGAAGAAGUGGGAACGACCACCCGACAAUCCAGGCGUGCGUGGGAACGUGGAACAACCUCCUCUAUGUUGCAUGAUGGCCACGUGUCCUUUAGAUGUGAAUCGCCAGGGGCGCAUGUGUAAUAACACUGUGUCGUCUCUGUCCCUAUAAAUACACGCCUCACCACAGUCAUUAUCGUUUCUUCCACUCUCGCACAAACCAUAGCGCCACCGCUAGCCCUCGACGAUGCCGGCGACGAAGCGCUUAGCUGCCGCGACCUCACCGACGCCGUCUUCACGCCGGCCGCGGACAUCGUCUUCUCCGCCGUCGCCAUAGGUGUCCUCCGUCGCCAAGUUAGGGCACGGACGAUCGAACUGCUCAGCCUCCUCUCCCACUCCGUCUAGCAGUUCUCCGUGUGGUAAAUAAAACUUCCUUUUUACGGCCCCUUUGAUCCUAUAGAUUCAUCUCUUUCUACCACAAGUAGUUUCUGUUCACACAAGUUGGAUCUAUUUCAUACUGCAUCUCAUAAUAUGCCUAGUAUGUUCACUUAUGCUUCACAAAGUAGUUAGAUUCCUCACUUGUACUUAUUCGUGGGUUCGUACAAAUCUGGAACCAACUCUCUAUCUAUGAGUGAAUGUCUUCGCACUAUGAGGUCAAUGUCUUCUAAACUGAUUUAUCUUCAAAAUCUUCUGAGAAUGCAUAUGACCUCUUCCCCUUCCCUCGCACCUUAAUGCUGUCACAGGUACAUGUCCAUGGGAGAAUCCCUUAGUUCUCAUAGUCUGCAUUCGUUUACAGAAUUCUUACAGCAUCACAUUAACUCUCCCGAAGCCAGUUCCUGUUUGACCAGAAAGCGAAAGCCUUUGAAGCCUUUAAACGUGUUGAAGCCCUUCAGUUUAAGCUUCAUGGCACCAGAGAAACCUAUAAGAAAGGGUGGCAGACAGCGUUGUGGUAACACCUCAAGAGAUUUGCCUCCUGACCUCUAUGAGCUGUACAAGACAGAUCCAGAGGAGGACUACAAUCAGUGAAAAACUCGAAUCCAAUGGAUUCGAAGAUAUUGGGCAGAACAGUGGUUCAAGUACAAGUUCAUGACCCAAGAGUAUGCUGAGAAGAAUGCCAUCAAACGACCAUGGGGAGACAUUCUAUACAGAAAUCUUCAACCCAAGUCCAGAGCUGAAGCCAUUGAACAAGGCUUCUAUCCUUGCAUGGUCCGUGGACCGCAGCCUGCGGAUGCAGACCCAUCUUCAUUACUGUGGUGCUGCGAUGAUAAUCUAUUCAAGCGCAACCUUCAGUUUGCCAGGAACUCGGCCAAAGAGAACAAGAAGUCACGAGGCUUAGACUUCAAUCCAGGCCCCUCUGCUCCUCGUGCUGAUGGCACACGCGAAGCUGAACCCAAUCUUGUUGGGACCUUCUACAACCUGGAAGGUCUCAUCACUCAUAUCAUGGUUCAAGGGACAGCCGUGGAUGAGCCUGCAGAUGACGAUGAAUCUGAUGAAGCGCUUGCACCGCCGAAGCCAAAGAAACUGAAGAAGCCUAAAGCUUCAAAGUCUGCCUCAGCACCAAAAAUCUUACGGGCGAAGCCACUGGCUACUGCACCUCCUGAAGACAGUGUGCAGUCUGAAGAUCUAUCACGUAUCUCCAAGAAGACUGAGAUGAGAAAGAACACUAAUCAGGCACUGACUGCUGCUGCUAUUCUGCGCAAUGACGCCAUUGAUCUGUCCAGCGAUGAAGAUCUUGCAGAUGACGCUCUUGAGCAACUGAUUAAGAGCAAGGAAGAAGCAGAAAUCUUCAAUGAUUUGCCUCUCUUUGAUGUGGCAAUCAUCCACAACUUCAUUGAUGAGUGGUUUGAAACCCCCAAUCUCAGCUUUGAUGAUCUGCAACUUCCAAUUGGCCUCAGCGUCGCUUUCACUGGUGCCAUUGCUUCUGAGCUAGCUCUAGCUCAGCGCAUCGUUGAACUGAAGCAAAAGAUCGACUAUGAGAAAGCUCAGUUCAAGCAGCACAUGGCAAAGCUCAGCGUGCAAGAUGUCAAGAACUUCAAGACUAUGCUGCACGAGCUCAAGGAAGCCUUUCUCAAGAAACGCGAAGAAGCUAAAGGUUCUCAUGAGCGCAUGAAGAGUCUGGCUGACAAGUGCGUGCAAGCCUACAAUGAAGCUGAAAAGCGCAAGGCUCUUGGGCGUCCUGGCAUCGAUCCCAGGAUGGCUGCAAUGAAGAAGAAGAAGCCAGCUGUGGCCGAACCAGAAGCAACAAGGCAGGAAGCACAUCCCAUUGUCUUCCCAGCCAGUAUGACAGGCUCGAAGCCUAAUGUCCCCAUAGUGGCUUCAGAAUUAAAGAAGAUAAGGGCUGCCGAGGCUGAAGCCAGAAAGAGGAAAUAUCCUAAAGCUUCUGAUGUCGCUCCCUCCAAGAAGCGCAAAACCAAGAAAGAUCGGGCUACUCCCACAGAGCCCCUUGUUGUCGAGCCCAUCUCGGUUGCUUGUCCUAAAUCGUCGCAUCAAGAACGACGGAUGAUAGUUCAUGAGCCUACUUCCACAGAGGCUCCUGAAGCUGAAGACAUUCCAGUAGUUGACCCCAUCGCUGCUGAAGACAUUGGUCACCAUGAAAAUGUUGAAGAUGAUGAAGUCCUUCCUCAGAUCGAGCACCAACUGGUAUCAUCGCCUGUGCUCAUGCACAACGAACUCAUCAGCAUUGGUCGUCCUCUGACGCCAACUGCUCAGGAUGCAUCGUGGGCUGAUCAUCCACAGAGACAAGACACUGCAAGCUCUCCCCAACCGCAAACUACCCCAAUAGUGCAAGAUGAUGAUGACUUUGUGGCCCAGCACACUCCAUCUCCACAAGCGUCGCCCGCAUUACACAGGCUUCGCAAAGGACCAAGGCCCCAAGUCACUCCCACAAUGCACGAGUCUGAAUCCGAAGCCAAAAUGGCUGAAGAUGUUGUUCUCAAGGAAAACGUGACCGACCCUCCAGCCCCUCAAGUGGAGGUUGAGAAUCCUGAGGCUGCCAUCACUAACACCACUGAAGCCAAUGUCGUGGUCAUGGCUGAAGACACUAUGGAGCCUGCACCUAACACUGUGCCAGAGGCUAAUGAAGCCAAUGAUGCACCUGCAACAGAUGUGCAGCCUGACGCCUCUGUUGAUGCCACUGCUCCUGUUCCGCCACCAAAGCCACAUACUAUUGAGCAAGCAUACAACUAUGGUCAGCUCAUCACUGUCAAAUGGCCUCCUCUUGUUCCUCCACCUGCUGCUGGUCCCCAAUUUGACUAUCACAUCGAGCGCAGGCCUCAGGUUUAGAAGCCAAUGCCAAGGCUGCCUAGGUUUCCAGGCACUGCAUCUGCACCCGGAUCGUUCAAUGUCAAUGGCUUCAAAGCACACAACACCUUCUUCAAUAGCGCCAAGAACCCCUACUCAAAGGCAAGAAUAUCUUCUGAUCAGUUCUGGAGCUAUCAGCAGUGCAGUUAUUACUCAUGCAUCUUGUACAAUCAAGGUCGCAUUUUUUCCCCAUAUGCGUCUUGACACUUAAGCCAUAACUGGUCUGCCCUGUUUGGAAGAAGCGCUGGAUUGCUUCAGAGAAUCUGGUUUGUUGCAGUUCAUCACUGACAAGGAGCACUGGAACGAAGAAUUUCUGCUCCAAUUCUAUGCCACUCUUCAUAUUCGUGGCUACAACAGGGAUCCGAAGACUUGGGUCCUUGGGUGGAUGACAGACAAUGUUCAUCACGAAGCCAAAGCCUUUGAUAUCAUUGAGCUCACUGGCCUGCCCACUCCAGGAGAUCUUUAUGAACCUGGUUGUCAGCUUCACACUGCUGCUAUGGAAAGCAUUUUUCACAAGCCUGAACCCAACAUGAGUCAGAUGCUUAGCAUGAUGAAGCCUUUGCCUCCAGAUGUUGAAUAUCCUAAGGAGUUCUUUGUUGAAGACCUUGAUUAUCUGCCACGCACUAUCUAUCACAUCAUAAGGCAAACUCUCUAGCCCAUCCAAGGACAUUCUCCACAUGCAAAGCUAGAAGGUGCAAUGAAGACUUUGGUCUUCCAUAUUCUUCAUGGAAAAAGCUUCAAUGCACAAGACUUCUUCAUCCGCCAACUUGCUGCAUCAGGAUCUGAUCUCUUUGGCUUGAAAUUUUAUGCUCCAUGGAUUAUGCGUCUGAUCAAACUACACUCAGUUGUCACCUAUCAGCCCUCUGCUCGCAAUCAUCAGAUUUUUCUGCCUGACAUGGACAUGUCAGUUGAAGCCAUCUAUCCAGAGCCUGCCAAGGAGCCCCUUAGUCUUCAGAAUGCUGAUAAGCAAAGUUUCUCUCUGAAAGUGCAACUAUCCCUAGGUGGUUUUGGUAAUUCAUAACAACAUAUAGCUCAUUGAGCUAAUGCUAUUCCAAGAUGAUCAUUUCAGGAAAGCUCAAUGAUUGGCAUGGCAUGGAUGGUGAAAGUGGAACCCUCAAAAUGCUAAGGAUAAAGGAUUGGCUCUAGCUCAUAUGCUCAAGACUCUUCAUUUUACAUUUUAGUGAUCCAAGAUCACAUUGAGUCUUUAGGAAAAGCCAAUACUACCAAGGAGGAAUGAGGUGUUGCUUAAUGAGCCUCUUGCUUCAAGUGCUUAAUGAUAUGCUCCAAAAUCCUCAGCUACUUUCACUUAUCCACAUUUGACCUAAACCCAAAGCCAAACUCGGUCAUACCGAUUCUUUCAAUCCGGCGCCACCGAGUUUCACUUGUCAUAGCCAUUGCCAAACCCUAAGCAAAUCGGUUCUAUCGAUAGGGAUCUCGGUCUCACCGAGAUGGGAUUGCAAUUUCUCUGUUUCCUUUUCGUAACUUUUCGGUCUCACCGAAAGAGCGGAUCGGUCCCACCGAGAUUGCAAUGCAAACUCUCUGUUUCCUUUUUGUAACUUUUCGGUCUCACCGAAAGAGCAAAUCGGUCCCACCGAGUUUGCCUGACCAACUCUCUGGUUAGCUAAUUACCAAAAUCGGUCUCACCGAGUUUGUGUAAUUGGUCUCACUGAGAUUACGUUAUGCCCUAACCCUAACCAUAUCGGUCCUACCGAGUUGCAUGUCAGUCCCACCGAAAAUCACUAACGGUCACUAGGUUUACUAUUUCGGUCCGACCGAGUUUGUGAUUCGGUCCCAUCGAGAUUGGUAAAUUGUGUGUAACGGUUGGAUUUUGUGUGGAGGCUAUAUAUAUAUGCCCCUCCACCUCCUCUUCAUUCGUGGAGAGAGCCAUCAGAACACAUCUACACUUCCAACUCAUAUAUUCUGAGAGAGAACCACCUACUCAUGUAUUGAGGCCAAGAUAUUCCAUUCCUACCAUAUGAAUCUUGAUCUCUAGCCUUCCCCAAGUUGCUUUCCACUCAAAUCUUCUUUCCACCAAAUCCAAAUCCUGUGAGAGAGAGUUGAGUGUUGGGGAGACUAUCAUUUGAAGCACAAGAGCAAGGAGUUCAUCAUCAACACACCAUUUGUUACUUCUUGGAGAGUGGUGUCUCCUAGAUUGGCUAGGUGUCACUUGGGAGCCUCCGACAAGAUUGUGGAGUUGAACCAAGGAGUUUGUAAGGGCAAGGAGAUCGCCUACUUCGUGAAGAUCUACCGCUAGUGAGGCAAGUCCUUCGUGGGCGAUGGCCAUGGUGGGAUAGACAUGGUUGCUUCUUCGUGGACCCUUCGUGGGUGGAGCCCUCCGUGGACUCGCGCAACCGUUACCCUUCGUGGGUUGAAGUCUCCAUCAACGUGGAUGUAGGAUAGCACCACCUAUCCGAACCACGAGAAAAACAUCCGUGUCUCCAAUUGCGUUUGAAUUCUCCAAACCCUUCUCUUUACAUUCUUGCAAGUUGCAUGCUUUACUUUCCGCUGCCAAUAUACUCUUUGCAUGCUUGCUUGAAUUGUGUGAUGAUUGCUUGACUUGUCCUAAAAUAGCUAAAAUCUGCCAAGAACUAAAAUUGGGAAAAAGGUUAAGUUUUUAUUUGGUCAAAUAGUCUAAUCACCCCCCCCUCUAGACAUACUUUCGAUCCUACAAGUGGUAUCAGAGCUUUGGUCUCCAUUUGCUUUGAUUCCAUAGCCGUUGGUGGUCAUAGCCUUGGUUUCACAACCUAGGAGAGUAUGGCGUCUAGCGAGGGAAAUUAUCACCGUAGAGGUCCUUACUUUGAUGGUACUAAUUUUGCUAGUUGGAAGCAUAAAAUGAAAAUGCAUAUUCUUGGACAUAACCCCGCCGUUUGGGCUAUUGUGUGCGUUGGUUUGCAAGGUGACUUCUUUGAUGGGAGAGAACCAAACCGUGAAGCUACCGCGGAUGAGUUGAUGAUGUUGCAAUACAAUGCUCAAGCUUGUGAUAUUCUCUUCAACGGAUUGUGCCCCGAAGAAUUCAACAAAAUCAGCCGUCUUGAGAAUAUAAAGGAAAUUUGGGACACUUUGAUUGAUAUGCACGAAGGAACCGACUCCGUCAAGGAAUCCAAAUUGGAUGUGCUUCAAAGUCAACUUGACAAGUUCAAAAUGAAGGAUGGUGAAGGUGUCGCUGAAAUGUACUCUAGGCUUGCUCUCAUCACAAAUGAGAUUGCUGGCUUAGGAAGUGAAGAGAUGACCGAUAGAUUCAUCAUCAAGAAGAUUCUAAGAGCCUUGGAUGGAAAAUAUGAUACCGUGUGCACAUUGAUCCAAAUGAUGCCCAAUUACAAAGAUCUCAAGCCAACGGAGGUAAUUGGAAGAAUUGUUGCUCAUGAGAUGUCACUUAAGGAUAAAGAGGAACUUCACAACAAAUCAAGUGGUGCCUACAAAGCCUCAUGUGAAGCCCCUACAUCAUCAAGUGAGAAACAAAACUUCAAUGAAGAAUUGAGCUUAAUGGUGAAAAACUUCAACAAGUUCUACAAGAGUAGAAGCAAAGAUAGAAGCUCUAAGUCAAGGUCCUACAAUGACAAAAGAUCUUCUAGUCGAGAGCGAAACUGCUACAAUUGUGGAAGACCCGGACACUAUUCCAAUGAGUGUACGGCUCCCUACAAGAGAAGAGGAGACUCUCCAAAAAGAAGAAGAAAAAGAGAAGAAUCACCACCAAGAGAGAGAAGGAGUAGAGAUGAUCGUUAUGAACGAAGAUACUCACGGAGAAGCAAGGAUUCGGAAAGAAAGGAAAAAUCAUCAAGGAGCUACACAAAACGAAGACAUCAAGCUCAUGUUGGUGAAUGGGUAUCCGGCUCCGACUCCGACAACCACUUCGAGAGAAGUUAUCACUCUGAUUCCGAAUAUACUCAAGAUGAAGGUGUUGCCGGUCUAGCACUUGUGUCAACCAACUCCUACGACAUAUUUGACUCACCAAAUGAAGGAAUUGGAAGAUGCUUCAUGGCCAAAGGUCCUAAGGUAACACACCCCGAGUAUGUUGAUUUUAAUAGUGAUGAACAUGACUUGUUAGGUGAUGAUGAUUUACUUGUUGAAAACUCUAGUGAUGAAUACUAUGAUGAAACGUCAAUUAAUCAUGCUAAUCAAGAUAAAACGAAUGACAAUGAUAAGGAGAAGAUUGAGGCUCUAACUAAAGAACUAAACACUCUUAAGUUAGCUCAUGAAACUAUCUUCGAAGAUCAUCGAGAACUUUUAAGAGCUCAUGAGAAGUUACGCUUUGAAAAGCUCAAUCUUGAGCAAGAGCAUGAGUUUUUAAAGGCAAUCAAUGAUGAUCUCCGCAAGAAAAGUUCUUCUUACAUUGCCAAGCGUUUACUCUUAUCCACUUACAUGCCUCAAGUCAAGUCUAGUAACAAGAACAAGAAAGAUUCUUCCUCUAGUAGUAACAAUGAUCAUGCUAAAUCCAAUAUUGUUGCUUCUAGUAGUUCUCUUGAUUCCACUAAUGAUUCUCUUAGCCAAGUUACACUUGAGCAAGAAAAUUGCUUAUUGAAGGGAAUUAUAGAGAAAGGAGUGUACAAAAGCCUUGCCGGGAGUAAGCAAUUCGAGGAAAUUGUGCGCAAGAAAGGAAGGCACCGGAAGAAUCAAGGUGUUGGUUUUGAACGAAAGUUCAAUGCCAAUGGAGUUGAGUGGGAAGAAGAUCAAUACCCCAAGACAAAGUUUGUUCCUCAACAAGAGAAGUAUGAUCCUACUUCCUUCAAGGGGACACAAGCUCAAGAUGAUCUUCCACCACAAGACUACAAGCAAAAAGGCAAGGACAAGCUUCAAGAGGAAAUUGAUGCAUUUGAAGAAGCUCCUACGACCUUAGUCAAGUGGAUUCCCAAGACCACUUCAAGUUCCACUUCAUCAAGUACGACUACAACUCCAAGGAUUCCCAUCAAGAUGGUGUGGAUCCAAAAGAAGAAGAACUAGAGAGUUCUUGAGGGUGACUCCGCCAACAUACUUCACUCUUAUCAUUUUGGCAAGAACAAGUGCAAUCAACUUCCACAUCUUGCACUAGUUCAAGGAGUCACAAACCCUCUUGUUGGUAAGACAAGGGACAAGGUAACCUAAAAGUUUUCAUGGACAUCAUCUUGUGUGUGCAUCACUCUAUGUCUAUGUAUAUCCUUGUUUGUUCCUUGUGGGACUAACCCAUGUAGGUAUUGAAAGUGCAAUUCACUCAAAUGGAUAGCUCCAAGUGAUCUACAUCAACAUUGAGCAUCCGCAUCUUCAACAUCUACAUGAAGUCAUCAUCUACAAAACCCAAGGUUAGUUCAUCCCUCUUAGGGGGGAUAUCACAUCUAGGGGGAGCUUUACUCUAAGACUUGAGCUAAAGCAACUCUAAAGAUGUGAACACAACAAUGCUUUAUGUAAAAGUGGUAACCCCACUUGAGCUUAAACGAUGAGUAUGACCUAUGAUCAAGUGUUCUCACUUGACUCCUAAGUCAAUAUACUCAUAUAUAGAUGACCUAGUCAUCGCCAAUUGCUUGAUAGAUGCUAGAAUUGGUUGUGCAUGCUUUGUCACAUAUUUCAAUUGCCAUUUUAUUGUGUGAGCAUGUUGGUUGCAUAUUUUACUCAUUCGAGGACAUCCACUUGUUGUUUUGAUUGUUUGGUUUUAUUUCCUUUUGCCAAGUGGAUGGACAAGAAUGCCUAAGAACCUCCUCUAGCUAUCUAUGCUUUUCUCGUCUCAAACUCUAUUCAUGCUACAUCACAAAAUUUAAUCAAGUCAGAUUCGAACCACUCUGUGUGAGGAGCACUCGGAGUCCCCGAUUCGUCAUAGACUUAAACUUCCAAAACCUCUUUGUGAUUCUCGGUCUGACCGAUGUCCUACUUUCGGUCCUACCGAGAUCAUUAAGUUGAUCUGAAUUUUCGAUCUCGGUGCAACCGAUUUGAACCAUUCGGUCACACCGAGUUGCAAUAACUGUAUAUAGUUUUGCAUCUCGGUUCCACCGAGUUGUUCCACUCGGUCACACCGACAGGGUCGGGCUAUAUAUAGUCACGGGCAAAAAUUUGGAAAUUUCUCCGAACCCCUUCGCCCAUGCGAUAGCUCGCUCUGCCAACAUGGCCUCUGGAUCGUCUCCUCGCUGCCAGCCGCCUCCAGUCGUUGGUCUCCAUCGCCGUCAACGGAAUUCAACCCCGCCGUUGCCGCCGUAGCGAGUCUCCGCCGAACUAGGGUAUGGACUCGAUCUUUGUGCUAUCCCCAAUCUGAUUCCUAGCACAUUGUGAUCUUAUUGUCUCUAGCCACGAUUGAAACACUCCUAUCCAGUCAAUACGUUCGUAGAAUAGGAUUGAUUCGAAAAUUUUAGGGUUAGGUUUCCGCCGAAACCAUCUCGGACCCACCGAGUUGAAAAACUCGGUCCCACCGAUUUGGCUCAUGCCAUUGCACAAGUGAGACUCGGUCUGAUCGAGAAUUACUAAUCGAUGUGAUCGAUUUUGGAACUUUGUGAAACCCUAGCAGUCUCGGUGCCACCGAACUGUGACUCGGUCUGACCGAAUUCACUAGUUUAGGUUCCAAAACUGCUUUGGUAUCACCGAGUUUAAAAAUCGGUAGAUCCAAAAUGAUUUCUGUGGGAAACUAAAACUAAGAUUUUGAAUCAUUCUUUUGCAAAAAUCUCUGCAUUUUGUGAUGCUCAUCUACUCUACCUCAUCUAUAAACUAUUCACAGGGUCAGCAGUCAGCUUUUACAUCAUGUCUGAUCAAAGUGACAGCCAGAAUGUGUUAGAAGAGCAAGUGCACAUGAGUGAGGGCACUAGUCCCUCCAGUUCUUCAGAUGAAGGCAGCAUGAGCACCCCUAGAAACCUGCCAAAAGCUGCCACCAGACAAAGGAAGAAGAGAACCUCAGACUCAGAGGAUGAAGACUAUGUGGCAGAAGAGGAAGCAACUUCCAAGAGAGUUGUGCUCAAGAAGGAAUAUGGCCCAGCACAGAGCACAAAGCCAGGGAUGAAAAUCAAAAGGCCAGCAGGUAGACAGCCUAUGCCAAAGGCCAGAGCCUCAACUCAGAUUCCUGAAAAGCCUGAACCCAAUGAUGCUGCUGCAGAAGGGAAGAAGAGGAAGGAGAGGAUCAAAAAGACCACUGCUAGAGUGCUUGGGAGAUCCUCAAUCAUGAGAGACUCUGAAAGAGGAAUAGGAAGAAGAGGUUGCUGCACCAGCACCUAAGGCACCUAAGCUUAUGGGUGAUGCUAUCAGGACAAGGGCUGCUGCAUCAAAGCCCAAAGAAGCACCCAAAGCUGCCUCCAAGCCCAAGUCAGCUCCAAAGAGGAAUACAAGGAGCAUACCAGCUGCUGAGAAGAACAAGGCCCCAGUGCCUGACAUUGCUAAGGAAGAAGAAGGUCAAGUGCUCAGGAAGCUUAAGCCCAAGAUCCCAGACCACAAUGAUGCUCAUCCUGUGGCUGAGGACACGAAAAUCAAAAGAGAUUCAGGGCUCAGGAAGUGGAGAGAAGCAGAUCCAUAUGCUUCAAGGAGAAGAACUGCUGUUGACUACAGGUUCCACACAAAGGAACAGCAGGAUUUCUAUGAGACAGUUUUGUUGGAUAAGAAGCCCAUUGUUUGUGACAUGAGAUGGGUUGAUUGGGAGUACAUCAAGGACAAUGAAUAGCACUAUCCUGGAGUGCAAGACAGCUUCAAAGCUUGUGGAGUAGCAGACUUUGUUGGGCAGAAGCUCACAAAGUGGAAUGAAGAGCUGAUCAUGCAGUUCUACUCGACAACACACUUCUAUCCAGAUGGCAGGAUAGUGUGGGUGUCUGAAGGCACUAGAUACCAAUCUACAGUUGCUGAAUGGGCUCAGCUCAUCAAUGCCCCAGAAGAGCAAGAAGAUGACUUGGAUAUCUAUGCCAAGAAGAAGAUGGAUCACAAUUCCAUGUCAAACAUGUACAAGGAGAUCCCAAAUGAAGCUCUUGAAACUUUCAAGUUUGGCUCAGUGCAUUAUCUUCUAUCAGGGCUGCCAACUAUCAACUGGAUCCUAAGGCACACUCUGUUGCCCAAGUCAGGUGAUCACAAGAUGAUCAGAGGCCAUGCAAUAAAUUUGCUUCAUAUAUUUGAUGUGCCACAGAAGUUCAAGGUGAUGAGCCUCAUGGUAGAGACCAUUAACAGGACAGCAGCUGAUCAGAAGAGGAGCUGUGGAUAUGCCCCACAAAUUCAGGAGUUAAUCAACUCAAAGAUGGGCACAGUCACAUACUUGUUGGACAAGGAACAUUUGCCUAUUCAUCCAGAUUUUGAAGACAAUCAAGUUGUGAUGAAUGAGAAUGAACCAUCAUCAGUUCAAGCACAAGCAAAGAAGGAGAAGGUAAGGAAGGAGAAAGCUGCCAAGAUGCCAACUCAAGAGGAGGCAUCUGAGUAUUUCUUGAAAACCAAACAAGAGUAGCUUGGUUACUUGAUUGCAUCCACACUGAGGAUUGAGAAAGGAUUGGCCACCCUCACCCAGAAUCAGCAGAGCUUAGAGAGGAUCAUAGAACAAAAGUUCUAUGACAUGGAUGUCAAAGUAACAGAGAUUCAGUCUGCAGUGGAGCAACUUCAAGAUGACAUGCAGGAGAGGAGAGGGAACACUACAACUGAUGCAUUUGCCAGAGUGCCACGAGCUCCGAGGUCGACUGCAGUGCCAGUUCCUGACACCAGAGCCACCACCUCAGCUCCAGCUACAGCACCGGCCUAACCAACUCCAACAUCUACUUCAGCUUCAACUCCAACCACGUCUACAGAAGGCUUCGUCCUUGGAGUGAUCCAGACUCCACCACCAACAGAAGAUCAAGCCUGAGAGUCGAUCUAGCACUAUGCAUUUUCUAGGAACUUUUUGGUAACUUGUUGCCAAAGGGGGAGAAAAUGUAUAGAUCAUAGGCUUUGAGAGAGAGUGUGUUGCUUUUAUUCUCUCGUGCUUUAUUUGGUGGUUUUUCAAACUUUGUUUGCUUUUGUGUGAGAUACUUUGAUAUGCUUGUGAGACAUUGAUGAUCAUGUUUUUUAUCAUAAGCUACACUUAUGCAUGCUUGAUAUUAUCUUAUCUAUCUUAUGUGAUCAUUCACCAAAAAGGGGGAGAUUGAAAGUGCAACUAUCCCUAGAUGGUUUUGGUAAUUCAUAACAACAUAUAGCUCAUUGAGCUAAUGCUAUUCCAAGAUGAUCAUUUCAGGAAAGCUCAAUGAUUGGCAUGGCAUGGAUGGUGAAAGUGGAACCCUCAAAAUGCUAAGGACAAAGGAUUGGCUCUAGCUCAUAUGCUCAAGACUCUUCAUUUUACAUUUUAGUGAUCCAAGAUCACAUUGAGUCUUUAGGAAAAGCCAAUACUAUCAAGGAGGGAUGAGGUGUUGCUUAAUGAGCCUCUUGCUUCAAGUGCUUAAUGAUAUGCUCCAAAAUCCUCAGCUACUUUCACUUAUCCACGUUUGACCUAAACCCAAAGCCAAACUCGGUCAUACGGAUUCUUUCAAUCCGGUGCCACCGAGUUUCACUUGUCAUAGCCAUUGCCAAACCCUAAGUAAAUCGGCUCUACCGAUAGGGAUCUCGGUCUCACCGAGAUGGGAUUGCAAUUUCUCUAUUUCCUUUUCGUCACUUUUCGGUCUCACCGAAAGAGCGGAUCGGUCCCACUGAUAUUGCAAUGCAAACUCUCUGUUUCCUUUUUGUAACUUUUUGGUCUCACCGAAAGAGCAAAUCGGUCCCAUCGAGUUUGCCUGACCAACUCUCUGGUUAGCUAAUUACCAAAAUUGGUCUCACCGAGUUUGUGUAAUCGGUCUCACCGAGAUUACGUUAUGCCCUAACCCUAACCAUAUUGGUCCUACCGAGUUGCAUGUCAGUCCCACCAAAAAUCACUAACGGUCACUAGGUUUACUAUUUCGGUCCGACCGAGUUUGUGAUUCGGUCCCACCGAGAUUGGUAAAUUGUGUGUAACAGUUGGAUUUUGUGUGGAGAGAGCCAUCAGAACACAUCUACACUUCCAACUCAUAUGUUCUGAGAGAGAACCACCUACUCAUGUGUUGAGGCCAAGAUAUUCCAUUCCUACCAUAUGAAUCUUGAUCUCUAGCCUUCCCCAAGUUGCUUUCCACUCAAAUCUUCUUUCCACCAAAUCCAAAUCCUGUGAGAGAGAGUUGUGUGUUGGGGAGACUAUCAUUUGCAGCACAAGAGCAAGGAGUUCAUCAUCAACACACCAUUUGUUACUUCUUGGAGAGUGGUGUCUCCUAGAUUGGCUAGGUGUCACUUGGGAGCCUCCGACAAGAUUGUGGAGUUGAACCAAGGAGUUUGUAAGGGCAAGGAGAUCGCCUACUUUGUGAAGAUCUACCGCUAGUGAGGCAAGUCCUUCGUGGGCGAUGGCCAUGGUGGGAUAGACAAGGUUGCUUCUUCGUGGACCCUUCGUGGGUGGAGCCCUCCGUGGACUCGCGCAACCGUUACCCUUCGUGGGUUGAAGUCUCCAUCAACGUGGAUGUAGGAUAGCACCACCUAUCCGAACCACGGGAAAAACAUCCAUGUCUCCAAUUGCGUUUGAAUUAUCCAAACCCUUCCCUUUACAUUCUUGCAAGUUGCAUGCUUUACUUUCUGCUGCCAAUAUACUCUUUGCAUGCUUGCUUGAAUUGUGUGAUGAUUGCUUGACUUGUCCUAAAAUAGCUAAAAUCUGCCAAGAACUAAAAUUGGGAAAAGGUUAAGUUUUUAUUUGGUCAAGUAGUCUAAUCACCCCCCCCCCUCCUCUAGACAUACUUUCGAUCCUACACUCUCAACGCAUUGAAGGUGACCCGAUAGUCACUCGUGUUUAUCCUUUGGCUGGUACUACCCGUGCACCUCAUCAUGCCCUCACUGAAGCCACUGAAAACACCAUUGCAUAACGGCCCAAGAAGCGAUCCCGUGUUCUGAAUGACCGAGAGCUUCUGGUUGCCCUUCAUUAGAAACAGGAUAAGCAUCAUGACUGGCUGAAGUGCCAAAUGCAAAGCAUCUUGGUGGACGUAAACAGGAUUCGCAACCUUGCCACCAAGAAUGCCUUUGUCGCCCAUGAAACUUGUCAGCGUACAUGGAAAGGGCUGAUGCUUAUGUGUUCUGAAGAUAAUCUUCAAGAGGAUGGUUUCUCUGAACGCUUCAAGUUUGAAUCAACACCUCCAAGAAGGACUUUGCUGCGGCGUACUCCGUCUCUUGAAGACUCUGAGUUCUCCUCCUCUGCUGCAAUAGUGAAUGCACAUGUCAUCGAUGAUGAAGACGAUGCUACUUCACCACCUUCAGCGCGAAUCACCACUGCACCGAGUUCGUCUUCACCGCCAACCAACUCUGACAACCCUGCUGCUUCACCAACUCCUCAUGGGAACGAGUAGGUGCUCUAUGUCUUCAAACCUUUUUGGUCCUUACUGACAAAAGGGGGAGAAGCAUAUGAGUUUGAUAGUCUUCAAGCGGGUCCAUAUGGGCGGUAGUUUUAUAUUUUGCCUAGUGUUACAACUCUCGCGUUUUGAUACAUUUGGUUCUUUGAGUUAUAACACUCAAACUCGAUGGUCGUCUGCUACUUAUUUGCUUUUCUGUGAUGCGAUGAUAAAUUCCGCAUGUGCAACAAUAAAUUCUACACUUAGAUCAUUUUGCAGACGUCCAUUUUUCAUUAUGCAUGUCAUUAUCUUCACAUACUUUUCAUGCAUGAUGAAUUGUCAUCAUAAGUUGAAGAGGAUCUCCACAAGUACAACCUGCCAUGUGCAUUUGCAUACCAAAAGCAAAUUACUUAUAUGCACAUCUUCAGGGGGAGCCUUUGCCACUUAUGAAGACAAUAACCUAUCCUUUACAAUUUCACAUAUUUUAUUCCCCGUUGAAAACUUCAACUAGUUUGUCAUCAAUCACCAAAAAGGGGGACAUUGUAAGUGCAUCUAGUGCCACCCCUAGUUGGUUUUGGAGUAUUGACGACAAACCUAGUGUUGGGGAACGUAGCAGAAAUUCAAAAUUUUCCUACGUGUAACCAAGAUCUAUCUAUGGAGAGACUAGCAACGAGGGGAAGGAGAGUGCAUCUACAUACCCUUGUAGAUCGCUAAGCGGAAGCGUUCAAGAGAACGGGGUUGAUGGAGUCGUACUCGUCGUGAUCCAAAUCACCGAUGAUCCUAGUGCCGAACGGACGGCACCUCCGCGUUCAACACACGUACAGCCCGGUGACGUCUCCCACGCCUUGAUCCAGCAAGGAGAGAGGGAGAGGUUGAGGAAGACUUCAUCCAACAGCAACACAAUGGCGUGGUGGUGGUGGAGGAGCGUGGCUAUCCUGCAGGGCUUCGCCAAGCACCACAGAAGAGGAGGAAGAAGAGACGCAGGGCUGCACCAAGAGAGAUUGAAUCGCGUGUGUUAUGGGCAGCCCUAGGCCUCAUAUAUAUAGGGAAGGGGAGGGGCUGCGCCCCCUCUAGGGUUCCCACCCCUAGGGGGGCGGCAGCCCUAGAUGGGGAUCAAAGGUGGCGGCCAAGAGGGGGAGAGGAGAGGGAGGCGCACCAAUAUGGGCCCUAAGGCCCAUAUCCCCUAGGGUUUGCCCCCUUUCCACCUCUUAGGCGCCAUGGGCCCUUAUGGGAGGCGCACCAGCCCACUAAGGGGCUGGUCCCUCACCACUCUUGGCCCAUGCAAGCCUCCGGGGUUGGUGGCCCCACUUGGUGGACCCCCGGGACCCUCCCGGUGGUCCCUGUACAUUACCGAUAAACCCCGAAACCUUUCCGGUGACCAAAACAUGACUUCCCAUAUAUAAAUCUUUACCUCCGGACCAUUCCGGAACUCCUCGUGACGUCCGGGAUCUCAUCUGGGACUCCGAACAACAUUAGGUAACGACAUACAAAACUUCCUUUAUAACCCUAGCGUCAUCGAACCUUAAGUGUGUAGACCCUACGGGUUCGGGAGACAUGCAGACAUGACCGAGACGUUCUCCGGUCAAUAACCAACAGCGGGAUCUGGAUACCCAUGUUGGCUCCCACAUGUUCCACGAUGAUCUCAUCGGAUGAACCACGAUGUCAAGGACUUAAGCAAUCCCGUAUACAAUUCCCUUUGUCCAAUGGUACGAUACUUGCCCGAGAUUCGAUCGUCGGUAUCCCGAUACCUUGUUCAAUCUCGUUACCGGCAAGUCUCUUUACUCGUUCCGUAACACAUCAUCCCGUGAUCAACUCCUUGAUCACAUUGUGCACAUUAUGAUGAUGUCCUACCGAGUGGGCCCAGAGAUACCUCUCCGUCACACGGAGUGACAAAUCCCAGUCUUGAUUCGUGCCAACCCAACAGACACUUUCGGAGAUACCUGUAGUGUACCUUUAUAGCCACCCAGUUACGUUGUGACGUUUGGCACACCCAAAGUAUUCCUACGGUAUCCGGGAGUUGCACAAUCUCAUGGUCUAAGGAAAUGAUACUUGACAUUAGAAAAGCUUUAGCAUACGAACUACACGAUCUAGUGCUAUGCUUAGGAUUGGGUCUUGUCCAUCACAUCAUUCUCCUAAUGAUGUGACCCCGUUAUCAAUGACAUCUAAUGUCCAUGGUCAGGAAACCGUAACCAUCUAUUGAUCAACAAGCUAGUCAACUAGAGGCUUACUAGGGACAUGGUGUUGUUUAUGUAUCCACACAUGUAUCUGAGUUUUCUAUCAAUACAAUUCUAGCAUGGAUAAUAAACGAUUAUCAUGAACAAGGAAAUAUAAUGAUAACUAAUUUAUUAUUGCCUCUAGGGCAUAUUUCCAAUAGUCUCCCACUUGCACUAGAGUCAAUAAUCUAGUUCACAUCGCCAUGUGAUUAACACUCACAGGUCACAUCGCCAUGUGACUAACACCCAAGAGUUUACCAGAGUCAAUAAUCUAGUUCACAUUUACCAUCUGAUUAACACUCGAUGAGUUCUGGGUUUGAUCAUGUUGCUUGUGAGAGAGGUUUUAGUCAACGGGUCUGAACCUUUCAGAUCUGUGUGUGCUUUGCAAAUCUCUAUGUCAUCUCCUAGAUGCAGCUACCACGCUCUAUUUGGAGCUAUUCCAAAUAACUGUUCUACUAUACGAAUCCAGUUUACUACUCAGAAUAAUCUGGAUUAGUGUCAAAGUUUGCAUCGGCGUAACCCUUUACGACGAACUCUUUUACCACCUCCAUAAUCGAGAAAAAUUCCUUAGUCCACUAGUUACUAAGGAUAACUUUGACCGUUGUCCUGUGAUCCAUUCUUGGAUCACUCUUCUACCCCUUGACUGACUCAUGGCAAGGCACACUUCAGGUGCGGUACACAGCAUAGCAUACUGUAGAGCCUAUGUCUUAAGCAUAAGGGACGACUUUCAUCCUUUCUCUGUAUUCUGCCGUGGUCGAGCUUUAAGUCUUAACUUCAUACCUUACAACUCAGGCAAGAACUCCUUCUUUGACUGAUCCAUUUUGAACACCUUCAAGAUCAUGUCAAGGUAUGUGCUCAUUUGAAAGUUCCAUUAAGCGUUUUGAUCUAUCCUUAUAGAUCUUGAUGCUCAAUGUUCAAGUAGCUUAAUCCAGGCUUUCCAUUGAAAAACACUUUCCAAAUAAUCCUAUAUGCUUUCCAGAAAUUCUACGUCACUUCUGAUCAACAAUAUGUCAACAACAUAUACUUAUCAGAAAUUCUAUAGUGCUCCCACUCACUUCUUUGGAAAUACAAGUUUCUCAUAAACUUUGUAUACACCAAAAUCUUUGAUCAUCUCAUCAAAGCAUACAUUCCAACUCCGAGAUGCUUACUCCAGUCCUUAGAAGGAUUGCUGGAGCUUUGCAUACUUAAAAACCUUCCGGUUGUAUCACAUACAACCUUUCCUCAAGAAAAUCGUCGAGGAAACAAUGUUUUGACAUCCUAUCUGCAAGAUUUCAUAAAUAAUGCAGCGAUCGCUAAUAUAAUUCCAACAGACUCUUAGCAUCGCUACGAGUGAGAAAGUCUCAUCGUAGUCAACUCCUUGAACUUGUCGGAAAACAUCUUAAUGACAAGUCGAGCUUUCUUAAUGGUGAUACUUACCAUCAUUGUCCGUCUUCCUUUUAAAAUCCAUAUGUACCUAACAGCCUUACGACCAUCAAGUAGUUCUUCCAAAGUCUACACUUUGUUUUCAUAUAUGGAUCCUCUCUCGGAUUAUAUGGCCUCGAGCCAUUUAUCGGAAUCCGGGCCCACCAUCGCUUCUCCAUAGCUCGUAGGUUCAUUGUUGUCUCGCAACAUGACUUCCAAGACAGGAUUACGUAUCCUUGUCAUCCUACGAGGUUUGGGAGUGACUUGAUCCGAAGUCUCGUGAUCAAUAUCAUAAGCUUCCACUUCAAUUGGUGUAGGUGCCACAGGAACAAUUUCCUGUGCCCUGCCACACACUAGUUGAAGAGACGGUUCAAUAACCUCAUCAAGUUUCCACCAUCCUCCCACUCAAUUCUUUCGAGAGAAACUUUUCCUCGAGAAAGGACCCGAUUCUAGAAACAAUCCCUUAUUGCUUUCGAAUCUGAGACAGGAGGUAUACCCAACUGUUUUGGGUGUCCUAUGAAGAUGCAUUUAUCCGCUUUGGGUUCGAGCUUAUCAGCCUGAAACUUUUUCACAUAAGCGUCGCAGUCCCAAACCUUUUAAGAAAUGACAGCUUAGGUUUCUCUAAACCAUAGUUCAUACGGUGUCAUCUCAUCGGAAUUACGUGGUGCCCUAUUUAAAGUGAAUGUGGUUGUCUCUAAUGCCUAACCCAUAAACUAUUGUGGUAAUUCGAUAAGAGACAUCAUGGUAUGCAUCAUAUACAAUAGGGUGCAGUUAUGAUGUACGGACACACCAUCACACUAUGGUGUUCCAGGCUGUAUUAGUUGUGAAACAAUUUCCACAAUGUCUUAAUUCUGUGCCAAACUCGUAAUUCAGAUAUUCAUCUCUAUGAUCAUAUCAUAGAUCUUUUAUCCUCUUGUCACGACGAUCUUUCAACUUCACACUGAAAUUACUUGAACCUUUCAAUAAUUCAGACUCGUGAUUCAUCAAGUAAAUAUACUUCAACAUUUACUCAAAUCAUCUGUGAAGUAAGAACACAACGAUAUCCACUACACGCCUCAGCACUCAUUGGACUGCACACAUCAAAAUGUAUUACUUCCAACAAGUUAUUUUACUGAAACCGAGGCUUUCAGUCAUCUUGCCCAUGUGGUAUGAUUUGCAUGUCUCAAGUGAUUCAAAAUCAAGUGAGUCCAAACGGUCCAUUUGCAUGGUGUUUCUUCAUGCAUAUACACCAAUAGACAUGGUUCGCAUGUCUCAAACUUUUCAAAAAUGAGUGAGUCCAAAGAUCCAUCAACAUGGAGCUUCUUCAUGUGUUUUAUACUGAUAUGACUUACGUGGAAGUGCCACAAGUAGGUGGUACUAUCAUUACUAUCUUUUGGCAUGAACAUGUGUAUCACUACGAUCGAGAUUCAAUAAACCAUUCAUUUUAGGUGUAAGACCAUUGAAGGUAUUAUUCAAAUAAACAGAGUAACCAUUAUUCUCCUUAAAUGAAUAACCGUAUUGCGAUAGACAUAAUCCAAUCAUGUCUAUGCUCAACGCAAACACCAAUCUCGAUGGUAGAGGGAGCGUACGAUGCUUGAUCAUAUCAACAUUGGAAACACUUCCAACACAUGUCGUCAGCUCACCUUUAGCUAGUCUCCGUUUAUUCCGUAGCUUUUAUUUCGAGUUACUAACACUUAGCAACCGAACCGGCAUCUAAUACCCUGGUGCUACUAGGAGUACCACUAAAGUACACAUCAACACAAUGUAUAUUUAAUAUACUUCUAUCGACCUUGCCAGCCUUCUAAUCUACCAAGUAUCUAGGGUAAUUCCGCUCCAGUGGCUGUUCCCCUUAUUACAGAAGCACUUAGUCUCGGGUUUGGGUUCAACCUUGGGUUUCUUCACUAGAGCAGCAGCUGAAUUGCCGUUUCAUGAAGUAUCCCUUCUUGCCCUUGCCCUUCUUGAAACUAGUGGUUUCACCAACCAUCAACAAUUGAUGCUCCUUCUUGAUUUCUACUUUGUGGUGUCAAACAUCGCGAAUAUCUCAAGGAUCAUCAUAUAUGUCCCUGAUAUAUUAUAGUUCAUCACGAAGCUCUAGCAGCUUGGUGGUAAUGACUUCGGAGAAACAUCACUAUCUCAUCUGGAAGAUCAACUCCCACUCGAUUAAAAUGAUCGUUGUACUCAAACAAUCUGAGCACAAGCUCAACAAUUGAGCUUUUCUCCCUUAGUAUGUAGGCUAAGAAAAUCGUCGGAGGUCUUAUACCUCUUGACGUGGGCAUGAGACUGAAAUCCCAAUUUCAGCCCUCGAAACAUCUCAUAUGUUUCGCGACGUUUCAAAAACCGUCUUCGGUGCCUCAACUCUAAACCAUUUAACUGAACUAUCACGUAGUUAUCAAAACUUGUAUGUCAGAUGUUCGCAACAUCUACAGACGAUAUUCGAGGUUCAGCACACUGAGCGGUGCAUUAAGGACAUAAGCCUUCUAUGAAGCAAUGAGGACAAUCCUCAGUUUACGGACCUAGUCCUCAUAAUUGCUACUAUCAACUUUCAACUAAUUUUUCUCUAGGAACAUAUCUAAACAGUAGAACUAAAGCGCGAGCUACGACAUAAUCUGUAAAAUCCUUUUGACUAUGUUCAGGAUAAUUAAGUUCAUCUUAUGAACUCCCACUCAGAUAGACAUCCCUCUAGUCAUCUAAGUGAUUACAUGAUCCGAGUCAACUAGCCCGUGUCCGAUCAUCACGUGAGACGGACUAGUCAACGUCGGUGAACAUCUUCAUGUUGAUCGUAUCUUCUAUACGACUCAUGCUCGACCUUUCGGUCUUCUGUGUUCCGAGGCCAUGUCUGUACAUGCUAGGCUCGUCAAGUUAACCCUAAGUGUUUCGCGUGUGUAAAUCUGUCUUACACCCGUUGUAUGUGAACGUUAGAAUCUAACACCCGAUCAUCACGUGGUGCUUCGAAACACGAACUGUCGCAACGGUGCACAAUUAGGGGAGAACACUUCUUGAAAUUGUUGUAAGGGAUCAUCUUAUUUACUACCGUCGUUCUAAGCAAAUAAGAUGUAUAAACAUGCUAAACAUCACAUGCAAUCAAAUAGUGACAUGAUAUGGCCAUCAUCACUUUGCUCCUUUUGAUCUCCAUCUUCGGGGCUCCAUGAUCAUCAUCGUCACCGGCAUGACACCAUGAUCUCCAUCAUCAUGAUCUCCAUCAUCGUGUCUUCAUGAAGUUGUCUCGCCAACUAUUACUUCUACUACUACAGCUAACGUUUAGCAAUAAAGUAAAGUAAUUACAUGACGUUUAUGUUGACACGCAGGUCAUAAAUAAAUUAAGACAACUCCUAUGACUCCUGCCGGUUGUCAUACUCAUCGACAUGCAAGUCGUGAUUCCUAUUACAAGAACAUGAUCAUCUCAUACAUCACAUAUAUCAUUCAUCACAUCCUUUGGCCAUAUCACAUCACAUAGCAUACCCUGCAAAAACAAGUUAGACGUCCUCUAAUUGUUGUUUGCAUGUUUUACGUGGCUGCUAUGGGUUUCUAGCAAGAACGUUUCUUACCUACGCAAAGACCACACCGUGAUAUGCCAAUUGCUAUUUACCCUUCAUAAGGACCCUUUUCAUCGAAUCCGAUCCGACUAAAGUGGGAGAGACAGACACCCGCCAGCCACCUUAUGCAACUAGUGCAUGUUUGUCGGUGGAACCGGUCUCACGUAAGAGUACGUGUAAGGUUGGUCCGGGCCGCUUCAUCCCACGAUGCCGCCGAAUCAAGAUAAGACUAGUAACGGCAAGCAUAUUGAACAAAAUCAACGCCCACAACUACUUUGUGUUCUACUCGUGCAUAGAAUCUACGCAAUAGACCUAGCUCAUGAUGCCACUGUUGGGGAACGUAGCAGAAAUUCAAAAUUUUCCUACGUGUAACCAAGAUCUAUCUAUGGAGAGACUAGCAACGAGGGGAAGGAGAGUGCAUCUACAUACCCUUGUAGAUCGCUAAGCGGAAGCGUUCAAGAGAAUGGGGUUGAUGGAGUCGUACUCGUCGUGAUCCAAAUCACCGAUGAUCCUAGUGCCGAACGGACGGCACCUCCGCGUUCAACACACGUACAGCCCGGUGACGUCUCCCACCCCUUGAUCCAGCAAGGAGAGAGGGAGAGGUUGAGGAAGACUUCAUCCAACAGCAACACAAUGGCGUGGUGGUGGUGGAGGAGCGUGGCUAUCCUGCAGGGCUUCGCCAAGCACCACAGAAGAGGAGGAAGAAGAGACGCAGGGCUGCACCAAGAGAGAUUGAAUCGCGUGUGUUAUGGGCAGCCCUAGGCCUCAUAUAUAUAGGGAAGGGGAGGGGCUGCGCCCCCUCUAGGGUUCCCACCCCUAGGGGGGCGGCAGCCCUAGAUGGGGAUCAAAGGUGGCGGCCAAGAGGGGGAGAGGAGAGGGAGGCGCACCAAUAUGGGCCCUAAGGCCCAUAUCCCCUAGGGUUUGCCCCCUUUCCACCUCUUAGGCGCCAUGGGCCCUUAUGGGAGGCGCACCAGCCCACUAAGGGGCUGGUCCCUCACCACUCUUGGCCCAUGCAAGCCUCAGGGGUUGGUGGCCCCACUUGGUGGACCCCCGGGACCCUCCCGGUGGUCCCUGUACAUUACCGAUAAACCCCGAAACCUUUCCGGUGACCAAAACAGGACUUCCCAUAUAUAAAUCUUUACCUCCGGACCAUUCCGGAACUCCUCGUGACGUCCGGGAUCUCAUCCGGGACUCCGAACAACAUUCGGUAACCACAUACAAAACUUCCUUUAUAACCCUAGCGUCAUCGAACCUUAAGUGUGUAGACCCUACGGGUUCGGGAGACAUGCAGACAUGACCGAGACGUUCUCCGGUCAAUAACCAACAGCGGGAUCUGGAUACCCAUGUUGGCUCCCACAUGUUCCACGAUGAUCUCAUCGGAUGAACCACGAUGUCAAGGACUUAAUCAAUCCCGUAUACAAUUCCCUUUGUCCAGUGGUACGAUACUUGCCCGAGAUUCGAUCGUCGGUAUCCCGAUACCUUGUUCAAUCUCGUUACCGGCAAGUCUCUUUACUCGUUCCGUAACACAUCAUCCCGUGAUCAACUCCUUGAUCACAUUGUGCACAUUAUGAUGAUGUCCUACCGAGUGGGCCCAGAGAUACCUCUCCAUCACACGGAGUGACAAAUCCCAGUCUUGAUUCGUGCCAACCCAACAGACACUUUCGAAGAUACCUGUAGUGUACCUUUAUAGCCACCCAGUUACGUUGUGACGUUUGGCACACCCAAAGUAUUCCUACGGUAUCCGGGAGUUGCACAAUCUCAUGGUCUAAGGAAAUGAUACUUGACAUUAGAAAAGCUUUAGCAUACAAACUACACGAUCUAGUGCUAUGCUUAGGAUUGGGUCUUGUCCAUCACAUCAUUCUCCUAAUGAUGUGAUCCCGUUAUCAACGACAUCUAAUGUCCAUGGUCAGGAAACCGUAACCAUCUAUUGAUCAACAAGCUAGUCAACUAGAGGCUUACUAGGGACAUGGUGUUGUCUAUGUAUCCACACAUGUAUCUGAGUUUCCUAUCAAUACAAUUCUAGCAUGGAUAAUAAACGAUUAUCAUGAACAAGGAAAUAUAAUAAUAACUAAUUUAUUAUUGCCUCUAGGGCAUAUUUCCAACACCUAGUUGAAGGACUAAUGUGUUUGUGAGAAUUGCAGGAUAACACAGGUAGAAGUCCCUUAUUGAUUGGGUUUUCCUACCAGAGAUGACCCCUAAAAAUGUAAGAAGACAUUGAAGUCAAAGGUGGUAUGUGAAGACAUUCACAUUAAAGACUAUGACAAGAGAAGACAUCGCAUGAAGACUAUGGAGCGCGAAGACUUAGUUCUUUCGUCAUUCUUUUUCUUCUUUGUUGAGUCAUACGAACCACCGUACUGUUAAGUGGGGUCCAAGUGAACCAGUCAGAAUGACUGAAGUGGUGCUUAACCAAAAUCCUAUGUCUUCGAGUGAAGACUAUGAGAGCAAAUCUUGUCCAAAGUUGGAUAAGUCAGCUUUGCUUGUAGCCCAAGUAAAGUUGCCGUGUGUGUUUGAAAUCUAACCGUUGGAACACAUGUCAGUUCCUUAGUGACCAAGGGUCAUUUCGGACAAAUCAGGUCGGGUUGCCUAGUGGCUAUAAAUAACCCACCCCCUGCAACCAUAAACGGUUGGCUGCUCAGAGUUAGUACACUGCUUUUUUCGUUUGAGAGCAACCCACCUCGAAGCCUUUGAGAGAGAAUUCCUUGCGAGGAUAAAGCCCUAAACACCCAGAGCCAAAGAGUAUUAGGCAUCACUUAAGUCUUCCUGUCUGUGUGAUCUGAAGACUUAUUACACUUGAGGACUGUGAAUCCUCCAGCCGGUUAGGCGCCGCGUUUUGAGCAUCCAAGAGUCAUUGUGGAUUGCCGGUGAACGAAGUCUGUGAAGGUUUGGAAGUUUACCUUGAAGACUUACCAGAGUGAUUGGGCGAGGACUGGGUGUCCUUAGCUCAAGGGGAAUAAGGUGAAGACGAGGUCUUCUGAGUUGAAUCUCAGCCUCCCUAACCAGACGUACAGUUGUCACAGCAACUGGAACUGGUCCAACAAAUCAUUGUCUUCAACGAGUCACUGGUUUCAUCCUUCCCUUCCCUUUACUUACUGUUGGUCCUUGUGAAGUCAUUGUAUGAUUGCUUUAUCUUUUGUCUUCACUGAGUGACUGCUUGUUCUGAUUGGUUUCACAAUAUCUUCCUACCUGAUCUUUACUGCCUAGCUACUAUUAGUCAUUGUGCUUUCACUCCAUUGAAUACUUGACUAUGGUUUGCCUAGUGUAAUCUACCUUCUGCUGCAUGGUAAUAGGUUUAUUUCUAUCGUUUGUCUUCGAAACUUCCAUGUUUUGAAGACUUUCAUAAAAAUCGCCUAUUCACCCCCCCUCUAGUCGAUCAUUAGCACUUUCACUGCCUGCACACACCCACCAGUGGAGCCGACGGGGGAGGAGGAGGCCGGCGAUCUACUAGCGGAGGAGGAUGAUGGUGAAGGAGAACCCCAGAUCGCCUUUGGGCAGGGGCUUUGUCCCGUACAUAUGGUUGUGUGCUGGUGAUUGCUUUUGAUACGGGAUCUUACGUACAAACAUAACCCAUUUAAUUCUUAAUCCUAUAGAGAUGCCGAGCUGGGGGUAAAUUAUAAUAGAAAUUGGCAUGGGAACCUCUUGAACACUAUGUCGAUUACAUUUUGCACGUUCUUAGUUUUUCUAGAAUUCAAGGGAUACGACUUUGUAGUUCAUCAGGAGCUCCUAAUAACUUUAGGACAAUUAUUUCGAACAAAGCACAUUCAUGUUGCAGAAAAAAAAUGAAACAAAACGUACAUUGUGGAAAUACUCUUAUGCACUUGUACCAUUUUGUGGAGAAUGUGUGGGCUAGCGGCCUCUAAUGCCGCCGCAGUAGCUAGUACCAUUUGUCUUGGCUGGCUAAAGUUCUGAACAAACAGUAUUGGGCCUCCUCACAACAGGGCAGCCCCUACAUCUUGACAAUGGGCUCACCAAACUACACGACCUCAACUCUUUGGUUGUGUGAUGUUUUCGUGUGUCACUGAUGAGAUGAACCAUGGUGCAGCAUGUCGUCCUGCUAUAAAAUAGGGCCACUUGAUCACAAGUACUGCCAUUGACCAUGAGCAGCAGACAAUAAUCACAUUGGCGGAACCCAUCUCUCAUACAAACCACUUCCCAGUCAAGCUUCAUAUAACGUCUCAGUUGUCUUCUAAUAUCCCAACUCACACAUAAGCCUUGAAAAAUAUCCAUAUGUUAAUUCUCUAUUGUCUGUGCCCACAUAUCAUCAUAACCUCUGGGUUGAUGUAUUGGUUGCUAGACAGAACUUUAAUUUAUAGGUGUCUGCCUAUAAUAUGUUAAUCAUGCUUUCUUUAUGUAGAUUAGUUGAUGACCAUCAGAACGUGCAUGACACAUUGCAUGCAAUGCAUUGCAUGAACAGCAGAACAUGUGUGAACAUUGCAGCCAUGCAUUCAUACAAGAUGAUCUAUGUGUAUCACAAAGGUCAUAUACAUGGAAACUAAAUGCGCGACCUAACUCAUUUUAUUCUUCAUCAUAUAGAAAUGCGGAGGUGGGGGAGGGGGUAGCUGAACCUCAUCUCAAUUCUAAAUUAUAGUAAAAGUUGAUGUGGGAAACUCUUGAACACUAUAUUCAGGUGGGGAACACCCCAGGGUGAUUGUAAAAAAGGCAUUUUGCAGCUCUUAACUUUUGUAGACUCCCAGGAAUAUCUCUUUGUAGCACCGGAGCUCCAAAUAAUUCCAAGACAGUUUUUUCGAACAAAGCAACUGCAAGUUCAGUUUUUGUUUUACAAACAUACAUUGUGAAAACACUCUUUGCUCACACCAAUUUGUGGAAAACGUGUGGGUUGUGACCCAUCAUUCGUCUGCCGGCGAGCUUUCUAGCCUCUAUUGUAGCACCGAGAGCCAUUGUCAUUUGUCUUGGGCGACCUAUUACCCUGAACAAACAAUAUUGUAGCACCGAGAGCCGUUGUCAUUUUUCUUGGGCGAGCCAUCAUCCUGAACAAACAAUAUUGGACCACCUAACAGUGUCGCGCAUGACAUGUGAGAAGGUUGCGGGUGCAGUGCAGAGGUGCGUCUAUGUGUCGCUUGUAGCAAGCUCGAUGCCCCACUCGCCUACAACAUCCUGCACAUAAGCCAGGCCCAACAUCGUAACGGGACACGCGAGUGUGAAAAUCCUACAUCUACGAAGGGUUACUUAAACUUUACGUAAACUUCCUAACAAUAACAUCUCCCCCCUCUAAAUUUUAGGGGAUGGGCCCGUUCUCCCCUCAUCUCCAAUCAUAUUUAUCCAUUUGGCUCAUUAUGUUAAUCUUGUAGAACUAUUUAUGUAUGUCUAAUAUUGCUCGGCGUGAGUGUCUCCCCUUCGAGCAACACAUACAUGCAAUGCACUCCUUCUUCUAUUUUUUUCUCUUCUGUUUUCUUUACUUUGUUUGGUUAAAUACAUUAAAUGUUCAUGGUACUUUAUAAAACUAUUUAUCAUGUAUAUAGAUUUUUAAUACGCAUUAAUAUUUUCUUUAAAUUGCAUGAUAAUUUUUUAAAACACAUGUUAAUUUUUUUUUAGAAAAAUACAAGAACAUUUUGUAAAUACAUGCCAAGCAAAUUUUCAAUUCAUAAUAACAUUAUGUAUUCUAUGAUGAACAAUUUUCAAAUACAUGAUAAUUUUUUAAUAUAAAAAUGGAGUUUUUUAUAUAAACUAUCAGCAUUUUUUGACCUCUUAAACAUUUUUUAAUAGACGAUACAUGACGAUUCUUUUUGAACAUAUUUGAUGAAACUUCCUUAAACAAGGCACAGAUUUAUUAAUACAUGGAGAACAUUUUUUAAUACUCAAUGAUCAUUUUUAAUACACGGUGAUUGUUUUUUAAAAUACAUGAUGGGCAUGUUUUAUUACAAGAUGAAUAUUUUCAGAAUAAACAAUGAAUAUUUUGCAAACAAAUAUUGUACAUUUUUUAAAUACAUGAUAGACAUUUUUAAUACAAGAUGGAAUUUUUUAAAAUUUUAUGAACAUUUUUAAAUACACAAUAAACAUUUUUUGCAUGCAAUGAUCAUUUUAAAUUAAGGAUGGACAUCUUCUAUAUCUAAAUAGCUAGUCCCCACUAGCUAUUUCUCUCAACAUGCAAGCAUGCCACAUCAUCUCAUAGCGUGCAUGAGAAAAGGCCAUCUCCCAACAUGCAAUCAUGUCACUUCAUCAUUAAACAUGCAUGAAAAAAAGACUCAUCUCAACAUGCAAACAUCCAAGAGAAUUUUCAUUCUACUAUGCUAUUUAGAUUUAAUAUAAAAAAUACAAUUAUAUAGUAAUCAAACAUAAUAAAUUAUAUGUAUUUUUAGUUUUAGCUUUUUAUAUUAUCACUUCAGUUAUUCAUUAUUCAUACAACGAAUCACAUUGAAAUAUGUUGCAAAAUAUUCCCACAACAACUUGCGAUGUAUCAUCUAGUUCUUUUUUUUUGACGGGAAUAGCAGAAGCUCUGCUUUUACAUUGUAGUGAAGGGAAAAAGUACAAAGUACAGGGGAGGGGUGUUAAGCACCCCGAGCAUAAAACGAACACAAGCAUAUACAGUUGCCUAUCGGAAAGCACUCCUGAAGAACAUGCACUACCCCUCUGCCAUACGGGUAGGUCUCAAAGCCUCACUGGGCAAUGUAACGUCAUCACGAAUCAUGUUUACCAACGCCCUCGGUGUCAGGUCCUUAUCCUCAAAAACUCGACGGUUUCUCUCCUUCCAUAGAUGCCAGGUGAUGUACGCUGACAGAGUUAUCUCUUACUCCGUCCUUGCUGGUGCUCCUCUUUGCGUACAAAGCAUCUUCCACCAAUCUGAAACUGAACUUGCCGAAGACACACCAUUGUACAUCCUGCUGUUGGCACCAAGGGAGAGAUGCCAGAUCUCUCUCGCAUAACAGCAUUGAAGCGUGAGAUGCAUCGCGGUCUCCUGCUCCUGGUCACAAAAUUUGCAAGAGGCGUUAUGUGGCCAUCCUCUCGCCUAUAGCCGAUCGGCAGUCCAGUUUCUGUUCUGCAGCAGAAGCCACAUGUAGAAUUUCACCUUCCCUUCUAGCUUGCUUCUCCACACCCGGGCAAUCCCAGACUGCUCAAUCCUGGCAGAGAAUUGGACCUCAUAAGCAGAACUCGCCGAGUAUAUUCCAUUGGUAAAGAUAUUCCACUUGAUUUUGUCCCUUUGAGUUGACAAGUUCACCGGCUGCAAUUUUUCCCACAGGCCAACAAAUUGACAUAGCUGCUCGUGGUUGUCCAUUCGCUGUAUACCUUGUAUCCAUCGCCCAGUGCUUAUAGCCUCUUUGACCGUGAGCCGUUUACACCUAGCCAGCUUGAAGAUAUCCGGUGCUAGGUGCUGUGGGGCCUCGUCAUUGAGCCACCGAUCUUUCCACAAGGUUGCAACACUACCAUCUCCCAACUCGAUGCAAGUGCAGCUGGAGAAGAGUUAUCCCUUCUUUAUAGUGCCUGCUGAUAUUUGUCCAAAAUACACAACGAACCCUUGUUUAUACCGGCCUACAAUAUUUUCUUUUGAGAACGAACUAAAGGUUAUCCCUUGAAGGGCUCCUUCGGUGAGUCGACGACCGCUGCUCCGUCCAGGGAAUAGGCAGCAAGGCGAUUUGCGCCUGCGUGCAGUGUUAUUGGCCGUUUUCUAGGCUCGGCGGCGGUGCGUGAGGCAACACAGCAACUUUGACUGCCCACAUGAUGCAACCAGGUACGUGUACACAUCUAGGGGUAGUCUAGUCCUUUUAGGUGCAGAUAAAUGGAAAAACUAAAGGAAAAACUGAAAAAGGGAGUAAACGGCAUAGUAAUCAAGAGGUCCACGAUUUGGAUGUCAUUUUUGAGAAACCCAUCUUGAGAGUGGCGUUCUUGCGAAGCCCAACGUUUAAAGUGGUAACUAUCCAAUUUUCUCUCCACGUAGACGCCCCCCGAUGGCCGCAGUCGCAACGCGAGUCGCGGUCGUGGUCGCUCCGGUAUGUCCCGAAAAGACGGAGUGACGCCGGCUGCUGCCUGGUCGAUCGGGGUGCUCUGCUCUCCUUCCUGGGCUUAGGGUUUACUAAUAGUCUCUAUUUUUAAUGAAGCAGUUGGUAGUCUCGUUUGCAGGUUUUUUUUGUCUCAUCACUUUCGUCCGUUUUUUUGUAGGUUAACCGUCGUAGAUUUUUUUGUCGCCUCCCUCACUUUAUCGGUUUAUUUUCACUUCACCCUCUCACACAACGAAAAAAACUGAACGGAUCAGAACUUUCCAUACUGACGCAAAUUAUUUAGUAAUGUCUUUAUGUAAAAGAAUCAAUCACAAUCAAUCUUUAAAGAUCAAAUCUAAAUUAAUUAAUCUUCAUAACGUUUGUUUCCUUCCGAAUCACGUCCAUAACUUUCCUUUCUUAUUUGGGCAGAAACUGUUUGGUAGCAGAGAUUAGAAAGCUUCCUAUGAGUGUAGUAAUAGGAAGUAUUCUUUUUCUUGAUGAUUCGUUUCCAUGCAUGAUGAUAGUAAAUUAGGCCAACAUUCACCACUAUUUAUCAAUGUCAUCAAUCGUAUCCAUUCCUACCAGUUUUAAGGGAAUCUACUCGCUAUGUCUUUUUUAAGGGGAUCCGCUCGCUAAGUCGUCGUCGCACGUUAUUUUCACAAGCAAUUCCCAUAAAAAAAAGGCGUGGGUAUUGGUAGUUGAACGCCCGCUAGGUUUUCCGCCUGUCCCAUCCUCGCGCUGUGCCGCCGCCACCCGCCGAAUUUCCAGCCGCCCGAGCCCGUUAACUUCGCCAGCCAUUGGGUCGACUGCCCGCGCUCCAAACCCCCAUCCCCGAGCACUAGCUAUCGCCGCGUUGCCGCCCCAAGCUCCACGCCACCGGGAACGAAUCAAUCGCCGUCCCGACACCGCCGUCGCCGGCCCAGCACCUUCAGCCUUGCAUGGACAACUUCAAUGUGCAGUCUCCCUUGCUGCCUCACCUUCUGCCAGCGCAUGGAGCGGCGGGGUUGGACGCGUGCGUGCUUGCUAGCUUGCUCUCCGUGCAUACGUACUUGCUCUGCGUGCGUUGCACCGGCCAAUGCGCAUGAUGCGUGUGUGCCUGCUUUUCUGUAUGUGUAUGCCGGCAUGAUGCGUGUGUGCGUUGCUGUGUGUGUAUGAUAUAGAUGGCCCGAGUGUGUGCAUGUUGUGCUCUGCUCUCUGCUGAUCUAUGUGUUGGUGCUCCUGCUAUAUGUUCAUGCCAUACAAAUGAAAUUUUUGUUAAUCUUCUGGCAUGUUGAGUUGGUUCUCUCUGUCUUCUGAGGGGGUGAAUGCAAAGCAGUCUAUUAAGCCAGGCACUAUUGCUAAGCUAAAUUGAUUAAAAAAUAUUGGUAGCCAUAGUUGUAGUUUAAGUAGUAGCGAGUUGUCUGAUAUGUAUAAAGAGCCCAUUGCAACUGAGCCCAUUGCUAAAUUGAUAAAAAAGGUCGCCAGUGUCACUUGAUAUGUAUGAGAAUAUUAAAUGUAUUAUUAACAUGAUUAAUAUUAAACUCUUAAAAUUAAUAUGGUCCCGUUGCAACGCACGGACGUUCUUCUAGUACAAAUUAUUUUUGUCAUGCUACUUCGGUAGUUUUCUUCGUGUGGAGUCGUUGGGCCUUUCAGUAAUUUAUACAUGGCGUGAAUCUAGUUGGGCUUUUUCACUGGCAACGACAGCAUGCAAUAUAUCGCCUAUAGCGCGCCAGAAGCGCUUCGUAACUCAAAGAAAGAGCUAAAAACGGAGCCCUUCAAUCAACAAGGGUCGGGAUCCACCGCGCCCACAUGGCCCUAAGGCCACAUGAGACCAGGCAAAUCAGCGGCGUCACUAACAGGAGGAAGAAACCCUACCGCCUUUUCCCUUGGAGGAUAAACNNNNNNNNNNNNNNNNNNNNNNNNNNNNNNNNNNNNNNNNNNNNNNNNNNNNNNNNNNNNNNNNNNNNNNNNNNNNNNNNNNNNNNNNNNNNNNNNNNNNNNNNNNNNNNNNNNNNNNNNNNNNNNNNNNNNNNNNNNNNNNNNNNNNNNNNNNNNNNNNNNNNNNNNNNNNNNNNNNNNNNNNNNNNNNNNNNNNNNNNNNNNNNAAAAUGUUUUUAUUUACUAAUCAUCAUUGUUAUGUAUACUAUUUAUAUCCACACAAAAAAUAUAAUAUUUAUAAAUCAUGAAUAUUCAAACAUUAUUUUUAUUACAUAUGUUUUACAAAUAUCAUAAAAAACCUAGUGCGAGCAAAAUGGGCAGCACUAUUUGCAACCCAUUUAAGCCUCACGUGCAACCCUUUUUUUUUUGUAUACUACAAGAAGGACUGUGAGUGGUUUAAGUCGGCUAGCAUUCUUGCUGUAGUUCAUGAGUUCGACCCGUGGGGCUUAUUUUUCCUGGUUAAUUUUCCCGUACUGAAACCCGGGACCCAUGAGUCAUUGAAGCGGAAAAAUAAAAUGCAUUCUGAGGUGUAGAUAGGGGCUUUUUUAUGAGAAAUAAAAAAAUCAGGGGGUUUUCACAAAAAAAGCCACACUCAUUCCUCUUUGCUUUCUACUCACCGACAACGGGCCCCAUGCCAUGCUGGCGCGCCAAGUCAUCGGUCUUCUCGUAUCCAACGUGAUUUGCACCGUAUUUGCACGCCUGAGCCAAGUUGUUUCACCAGUUCAAUGUAUGCCACAAGUUCUAGCACCAAAGUGACUAUUUGCGCCAAGUUCUAGCACCACUGGUGUAAUUGGCUCUUUUUUUAACCGUGCUACGGUGAACCAAGCAUUGCAGUAAACCACUAUAGUGAAAACCGACCUCUAUAGUGAAACUCGAUCUCUACAAUACAACGGAUCGCUACAGUACCUCUACGCUAUCGCGUGCUGCUCUCUCUACAGAGAAAUGAGGGGUGACCGGUCGUUGUCUUCGGACCCAGCACUGACAUAUAAAGGUCAGAUUUUUUUUUAGUUUGUAUAAAGGUCAGAUUUGAAGAUUGUGGUUUUUUUGGAAACAUGAAGAUCGUUGUCUUAGGGCAUGUACCCUUUACCCUACUAGACACUGAAAACGUCCAUGCCACACACUAGCCGCAUUUCCUAUUUGCUGCAUAUUACGGCAAACUAUUGGCGUUACAAACAGGGCGAGCGGCACAGUGACUGGAUGGGCCAAUCCAUUUUGCAUAGAUAGCUUAGAAAAGUAAGGUACUACAAUAUCCGGCUUUCAAGAACCUGUUAGAAGGUUCCUACCCAGUUUUGGGAACCUUCUAGAAGGUUCAUGAAGAUUUUUUUUCUUUAUUGGGCUUUCUUUUCUUUGUUUCUUUUCGUUUUUUCUUUUUAAAAUACUUUGGAAAUUUUGAAAAACAAUUAUGGAUUUCAAAAAAUAUUCGCUUUUCAAAAAUUGUUUGAUAUUUUCAGAUAUUGUUCAGAAUUAAAAAAAUGUUCAUAUUGUUUAAUUUUGUUCACAAAUUGAAAUAAAUGUUCAUGAAUUUAAAAGAAUGUAUCAUUUUUCUUAAUUCUGCUCACAACUCAAAAACAAUUCCAUUAUUCAAAAUUUGUUUGGGAAUUUUCAAAAAAUGCUCGGUGAUUUAAAACAAUUUUUCAUUUUUCCAAAUUCUAUUCACCAAUUCAAUAAAUGUUUCCAUUAUUUAAUAUUUGUUCCUGAAUUUUAAAAAAAUGCUCGCAUUUUGAAUUCUUUUUAUUUUGAAAAGUGUUCAUAUUUUAAAAAUAGGUUCGGUCUUCAAGUACUGUUCAAAAAUUUGUAAAAAUACCUGGAUUUUCAAAAAAUGUUAGGAAUUGCAAAAACUGUUCCCAGUUUUAAAAAAGCCUUCAAAAAGUUGUUCAUGUUUUCCCAAAAACUGUUUGCUUUCUAAACAGAUGUUCACUAAAUUUGAAAAAAUGUCCGCGUUUCAAAAAAUGUUCCCUUUUCUGAAAUGUGCUCACAUUUUGGUAACCACGCCAGAGUAAAUUGCUACAGUGAACCAAGCAUUGCAGUAAAAUAGCUACACUGAAAAUCAACAUCCACAGUGAAACCCGAUCGCUAUAGGGCCUCUAGGCCAUCGCGCGGCAGCUCUGUCCAUUGCAAACGGGCCGGGCCGAUCCAGUCGGAUCCCCGUGAUGAUGCGUCGGGUCCAAUAGGGCCUCCCCACCCGAGCCCCCCUGCCGCCGCGGCCGCCAGCGCAGGGUAGCCGACGACACCACGUCCCCCUCUGGCCCGUGCCUACAUCCUCCGCCCCUCUGCUCCGCCCUGGAAGCCGGCCGGCCUCCCUCUGCCCCUCUGCUCCGGCUCCGAGGUAGACGCCGGCCUGCACCUCCGCCUCAAGAACCGGCCGGAGGCGAUGGCCAGGUCGCCGCCAACCUCGACGCCCAGGUCGCCGGCAGCAGGUACCUUCAGCUUUGCGCCUUGUACUGUUUUGGAUCUUGAUUGACCAUGUCUGUAAUUCCAAGAAUAGCUACUAUUUUUUUUAUGUCAGGCCAUGCAUUUAGUUUGUACUGAAACCAAGUUCUACAAUUCUCACUUCCAUUGUUUCAUUCUCAUUUAGUUUCUUUUCCUUUUUUUACUUUUCUGUUCUUUUUUGUGCAUCAGUGGGAAACCAUCCACAUUUGUCUCUCAUAAUCUGUAUUCUCAUGUGACACGUUUUAAAGCAGGCCACUGUGAUGGGAAGGAGGAUGCAAUGUCGGGACAGAUGCUCAAGCGAGGAGCAAAGGCAACACCCGCAGAAGACCACGCAAGGUUCCACUCUGCCCGUACAGCAUUUUCGGUUUGCUUAUGGUUGCCACAAUAUCAUAGAGCAGUAGCCAUAUCGAUCUAACACAGAGUAGUUGCCGUAUGACCCACAGUGCAGCUGCCGUAACACCAGAGUGUAGUUUUACCAUUUUUAUCGGAGUAGGUUGCUUUUUUAUUAUAGAGCAAGUCGCCAUAUCUUUUUUUAGAAACAUUGAAAAGUAAGGUUUUGGGUUACAAGCCUCCUAGGAGGCGGUUACAAUUUGUGAAUGCAAAUCAAUGGACAUCCCAAGAUUGGGGGAUGAUAGCUGGAAGUCCUAAUGCUCCGCCAUCGGCCCAGAGGGCAGUUUCAUCCUUGAUCCUCGUGAGCGGAUCAUUUUACAGAAGGGUGGCCUCGGUUGAAAACAUAGUCAUUGCGGUGCUUCCAUAGCAUCCAGGGGACGAGCAGGACCGCGGAUGCGAGGCCUUUGCGCAUGGACUUGGGAACGAGCUGCCUUGUAGAUUGCCACCAAUCAUUGAACGAUGGCUUGUGGGCGGGAGGGGGGCAUGGGACCCUUAGCCAACUAAGCGAAAAUAUAUAUUAGAGCAUAUGCACCCAGGCCCUUUCUAUCUAGCCAUCUAUUUUCUGCUUUAAGAUUCAUGAAAAUACAUUUCUCUUUUUUGUUUCUCCCACAUAGAACAUGUCUUGAAGUUCAAACCUAUGCAGUGUGGCAAAGCUUUCUAAGUAGAAUCUAGAAUAAAUCUUUCAGAUUUUUUUGUCAAAUAUAAAUAUACAAAAUACGUAUUGUUUGAUUAAAAAAAUGUAUUUUUAGUAUUUAUGUCGGAUAAAAAAUUCUGAAAGAUUUAUCCUAGAUUCUAGUUAGAAAGCUUUGGCACGCUGCAUAGGUUUGGACUUCAAAAUAUGCUCUAUGUGGGAGAAAUAAAAAAGAGAAAAUUUCAUAUAGAAAGUUAGUUGUGUCGCACGGAUCUUAAAGCGAUAUUGGAGAGCUAGGAUAGCAGGGCCUGGGUGCAAGUGCUCUAAAAAUCCACGUCCGCCAACUAAGUGUCUCAUGCCAAAUCUGCCGGGCGAAUGGGCAGGCUAGGAGGAGGUGGUGCAUGGUCUCAGGCGCCGGGUCGUAGAGGGGGCAGCGCGCAGGGUGCUGCAAGCUGCGGCGUGCGAGGCGGUCCGUGCUCCAGCAGUGGUCCUGGUGGGCGAGCCAGUGGAAAAAUCUAACGCGUGGUGGCGCCCAGCACUUCCAGGUGAGUUUUCAUUCGUCGCAGGAAGUGGAGGAGCCAUGGAAUGUGGCCAGGUAGGCAGAUCCGGUGGAGUGGGUGCUGCUCGCGCUCCACUUCCAGGUUAGGCAGUCCGGCUCGGUAGAGAGAGUAGUGUGCUCGAUCCUAUCCCAUAGUUGCAGGUACUGUCCGAUUUCCUGGAUGCCCAUGGUGCCAUGGAUGUCCUGCGCCCAAUGGUUGGCAUGGAGGCCGUCGGCGACGGUCCGGGUCUUGCAGCGACGUUUGGGGAUGCACACAUACAGUAGGGGUGCGAUUUCACGGACGGAGCGCCCAUCGAUCCAUCGGUCCUCCCAAAAAAGGGCCUGCAUCCCAUUCCCAACCAGCAUGGUGGUGGAGGCGAAGAAAAACGCAUGUUCCUCGGUGCUGAACUGCAGACCGGCCCAGGCUCUGCUGCUAUAUGUGCGGCUGAAGCAGAGCCAUUGCUUGCGGAGCGCGAGGCCGGCGUGCUCCAGAUCGCGGACGCGUAGACCACCGAGCGAGAUCAGCCUGGAAACACGCUGCCAGUUGAUGUGGUAGUUGCCACCGUUAGCUUCCGCGCGCCCAGCCCAGGGGAAGCCUCUGAAUUUUUUCGAGCGCCCUAAUGAUCUUCUUGGGGGUUGCCAGCACGAGCAGUUGAUGGAUUGGGAUCGCUGCCAGGACCGCCUUGACAGACGUUAGGCGGCCAACCUUGUUCAGGUGUAGUUGACAUAUUACCAUCGAGCAGUUGCCAUAUCAUUAUAGUGUAGUUUGCUAUCUUAUUCCGGUUACUUACCUGUUUGUUGUUUGUAAUUCCUUUUAGAGAGAAUCCAGAGAAGCAGCUAAAUUUAACCGAAGUGUUGGCUGAGGCAGUGAAGUGUGCACAAGCUCUCAAGACUGAUGAAAUGAUUACUGACACUAGAGUUAAGGAAGCUUUUGCAGAGCUGAUGAAUAAAGUGUACCCGCGUCUACCUGAGAGCCUACAGGAUCAACUGAUUGCUGAUUUCAGACUCAACAUCCUCCGUCGGGCGCAAGAGAAAAAUACUCCCCUGGUUGAGUUGAUGGAUGGCGAACAGAAGAACUUCCUCGGGAAGAAAAGAACUCAUACCAACACCUUGUGGAUUAUAGAAAAGCUAGUCUUGUUAGUUGGCGUAUGCUGCUUCGUGUACCUCAUGAGCCUCUAUGUCACUGGGUACUGAACACAGAAAGGUAUGCCUGAAGAUUAUGUACAAUCAAACUGCAUUUUGUUUUGUCAAAUAUUAUGUUGUUUGUAUUAAAUAAUUCUUAUGGUGGCUAGAACAC